AAAGUCAAAAAACCUUAAUUUUACUUUUUAGAUUUUCACCAAAACGACGUAAUUUUAAGAUUUUCACCAAAACACGAGCUCAACGCCCUGGUCCGUCUUGGCACAAAAACUCAAAGACGGAGGUCAUCCCGACACACGAGUUUACAGCCCGUGAGCCCGAGUCCGUCUCAACACACGGGCUCAGAGCCCGGGUCCGUCCCAACCAGAAUGUUCCUUUCAUGAGCAUACAAUAUCGAUCAUCUAUUAUCUUCAUGGUUUUGGUAAUGAGUAUCUUCUUGAUCUUGGAAUAAUCAAGAUGAGGGUUGGUUGUCAAAUAUAGUGCAAGCAAGAAAACAAUGAUAGAAUAUAUACGUUGCUUGAUCCAUGAUAGAAUAAACCCAAGUUGAUGUAAACCCUUUUUUUUUUUUUUUUUUUUUGGUAUAGGGAGUUGAUGAAACCUUGGUCAAUUUAUUGAGAUCAUGUUUGUUCUGGUUAUUUUCACCCUUUCACUCGAUAGAAUAUUACUCUUCAUCUUAUGGUGUCCGGUGGAACAAGAUGCUUUUUAACCCAAAUCAUGGGUUGUGACUUGUGACGAUUUUUGCAGAACAUAUCAGAUAAGUAUUCGGAAUGUAGCACAAUAAAAUUAUGAUUAAAAACAUAAUGGGUUCUCCACUUUGUGAAACUAGCUAGCACCACUAAACUUAUCAAAGCAUUAAUCCUGAUCCUUACCUUUCUCCUUCUUUAUACAUAAUACGUAUCCAAGAAGCAUAAGGAAAAAGCAAAUCCCAGCUAGCACUAGCAGAAACAGUCUCCAUCAUUUUUUGGCCUGUAGGCUUAAUGCUAAAGACACUUCACCUUCAUGGCUAUUCAUAUGAAGAUAAUUCCCUGUGAUAUUCUCAUAAGCUGCUGCAUUGCUUUGUGUUUCGUUCUGCUCAGACAUGUCAAGAUGUUUGUUGGUUCUAGAGCGUUUAGUUUGAGGCAGAGUCCCCAAAUGGAGAGGGUUCUCUAAAGAAUAAGAGCCAAGAGAUGGCGCCGUUACGUUUCUUCUCGUUACGUCUGAAUUUGAAAUCAUUGGAGAUUGUUGUGUUUCCAGGCUGUGUAUUUCUUCCACCAUUGGCUUCCAAAGUCUUACUCUUGAAUUGAUAAACCAAUUGGAAACCUGCGUAUAGCCAAAGAUUGAUACCAACAUGUGUUACAUGGUUAAUUGCAUCACAAGUCAAUUGGAUUUUAACCCUAAUGUGUAGUAGCAAGCUUCACCUGAGUUCUUGAUAAGCCUGUUUGUUGAGCUAGCCUUUGCUUUUCAGAAUCACUAGGAUAACUGAUAAUGAACAAACCCACGAGUUAUAUAAGAUAGAAAUUAAUCAGUUCGUGAAUGAAUGCAGUAGCACAUUGGUUAAGUUAUAACGAUAGAGAAGUCACUCACGGAUGAAGGAAGUGUUCGAAGAGCCAUGUCCUCAUCACAGACACUGCAGUUUCCGGAAGUCCUCUUUGGGAUCGAAUUUCCGAUAGAUGAAAGUUGCUGGUCAGGUUCUGAUGACUUGGGUUUUGGCUACAAAGGCCUCUUUUAGAAACCCCCCUAAUGUCAUCUUUAACAAGGCUAAAAUCACCAACAGUACUCUUGCCUUUUGAUUGAAGUAUGUCCAAAAUGGCAUUCUUCAAGAAACCAAAGUGCUUCAAAACGGCCUUGAUGGCAAAAGACAUGUACGGUGCUGCAUUUCCAAUCCCAUCAAUAGUUUCAAACGAUGCAACAACUGACUCCAUCUGCUGGCAAUAUAGCUUAUAUCUCUUGUAGACCUAAGAACAAGUUUCUGGGGGUUAACAAUGUUUGAUACACAAAUAUGAAAUGACCCUAGUGGGUCAUAAAUGGGCUUAUUGGAUAGAGCAGGCCCAAUGGGCCACCACUAAGUUUUUUUCUAGGCCCAAGGAUAAAUUGAGUCCAACAGAAUAAAAACAGAUAGAUAUUGGAAAUUAAAUUGUGACAGUGUGACAAGACAAUACAUCUUUUGCCAAUGACCUCUGAGCAAAUCAAUCAUUGAUGUGACUGUGACGCGUUGCCAGUCCCAAUCAAAUUUUCUAUCAAUCAAAAUUAAAGUGAUAAACCUUAUACUACUAUUAUACUCCAUAGUAAACUAAUGUAAAAUUGAAAUCAUAAUUUCAAAAACUAUAGCCUCACCUACUCUUGAAUUAAAUUCAUCUUGAGCAUGUAGCAUGUUUAACAAAACGAUAUGUAACAAGUAAUCUUCGGAUUCUCUAGAUUGAUCGAGAGCUCGUUGUAUGAACUUUUCGAUUGGUAAAUUAAUGUAACAGUCACAAUGCUAGCAUAUAGAAUUGAGAAAAUGCAAUUUUACAGAGGCGAUCGAGUGUGUAACGUGUACCUCAUCGAGCAUGAUGGUGAGACUGGAAUUCUUGAACUGAAGCUCGAACCGAUCACUGACUCCAAUAAUCUGAUCUCUUGCUCUUUCAUUGAAGUAGUUAAGGAGACGAGGAGGGUCUGAAUCGGACCGAUCCGACCCGCAGGAGUCUUGAAGGAGUUGCUGCGCAGGGUUGAGAAACCUGGAGUGCUUCAGUAUGGAAGCGUAGCCUGUGAAAGGGCCUAGGGGAACAAGGCUGCUUCUGAACUCACCACGUUCAAAAACGCGGCGGUGGUCGUGGUCGGAGAAACGUAGAGGAAGCGGUGGUUGGUGGGUUGGCAUGGUGGAGGAGGGUGUGAAGAGUGAGAGUUGUGGCUGUGGUGGGUUGGUUAGGAGGUUCAUGACUCGGAAGUGGUCUCUUCUGCUUUGUUGGGGGACGUCGAAGGCUUCAAAACCCUCGCCUGCCAUGGAUGAGGUGUGAUGCUUGAGAGAGAGAGAGAGGGGUUUAAUGAAGGGAAGGAAAAUGUCCUGACCAGGAAAUGAGUCAGACACAGAGGUGCAGUGUGGUAACUGGUAAGCAAAAGAUAUAGAUACGGUCCCAAGAAAGAAAUAGUCAAUGUAGAACAGAAAUUCUUACACUCAUCUUGAUUUUUACCAUAUAUUAGAGCUGGUUACACGUGUGACAUUAAAGAAUGUGACAAAUGAUAAAGAAGAUUUAGGUAUUGCUUUGAGUAUUAGACAUUUCUGGUCUAAUGUAUGUCUUCAUAGUUUAUCGUAUCAUUAAUAUAAUGAAAAAGUCUAACGUUUUACGGUUUCAACAUAUAAAUAUAAUGAAUAACAAAGAAUGAAUCACUACCGGAUUACAUAACGUCAAAUUUACAAUAACUAAGCAAUGGAUUGAUCAUUUCCAUUCCUAACAGAGUGAUCACCCAAAGCUACUCUCCGGUCCACAUUUUUGUAGGUAUAACCUCUAGCAAAGUACCCAUACACACAUAAAUUCAACCCAUUCAGGGCUGCCAAUAGCCAGAAGAAAUUGUCCAAGCGGCUUCCACUCAAGUCCUUCCCAAACCAACUUCUCCCAUACUUCGCUGUAACAUGAUCCAAAACACUAAUUAGAAAGCUGCUCAAGAAGCUCCCAACCCCAAUCACACUCAAGUACAAAGCAACCCCUAAGCUUCUCAUUGAGUCCGGAACUUGGUCAUAAAAAUACUCUUGCAAACCAACCAGAGCAAAUGCAUCCCCUAUACCAAGAAUUAUGUACUGAGGAGCUAACCAGAACACACUCAUAGCUUGUGGAUCAGCAUAUUGUAGCCUUUUUCGUUCAACUAGUGCCGUAACGGCCAUUGCUAUCACCACAAGUAUCAUCCCGACUCCGAUCCUAUGGAGGAUGUUCAUACCCCUUUCGUUGCCGGUGGCUUUACGCAGCAUUGGGACAAGAACUUUGUCGUAGACCAUGACUGAGACUAGCAUUGCAAUGGCUCCAAGAGAGAAAAUGGAGGCCGGUGGGAUCUUGAAGUCGUUAGUGAUGUUGCGGUUCAUUGUAGCAGCUUGUUUAACGAAAAAGGUCGAUGCUUGUGCCAAACACACUGUAUUUGGUAAUAAGGUGAGCCAAAUGGGGAUCAUGUUCAAGAUGAGUUUCAAUUCCUCCACUCUUGUCAAUGUAGCCAAUCUCCAAGGGUUGUGUUUUUGCUCACAAGAUUGGUAGUUCUCAUUCUCUUCGCGAUCGAUUAUCGCAGCCUUGUCUAGAAACCUACAGAUGACAUCCUGUUAGUAUUGAUGUGCACAUUUCAAGUAUAAAAGGGCUUAUAAUUAAGCUGCUUACCUGAGCCUAUUUGUGUGAAGUAGAAGCCUUCCAUGGGAGUACUUCUCUGACUUGGGAACUUCAAAGAGCAGAUCAGGGUUUUGAGGAUUGGGCAAAUUUCUUUUUCUAAUGGCUGCAACCAAGACCUGUAACAUGGGUAUCAAAGGGCUUCCAUGUGCUACUCUAUAACGGUAACAAUAUUUCCCCAUGUAAAACGUCACUAUUGUAAUAGCCAGGGUGAUUGUGAGAACAAGGUCUGCUACCCCCCAGCUCACUGAGUCCUGAACAUAAACAAUCACAGUUACACCAAGAAACAGCCCACAACAAAGUGCAAAGUUCCACCAGUUGAAGAAAGACAUUUUCUUCUUUCUUUCUUCCAAGUGAUCAUCGUCGAAUUGAUCAGCUCCAAAGCUUUGAAGACAGGGCUUGUGACCUCCGGUUCCAACAGAGAUGAAGUACAAGGCAACAAAGAGCAACACUUCAUGAAGCUUUCUAGGCUGUCGACAUAUCUCCGUUUUGCAGGGCUUUAGACUCGGGAUGAAUUGUGACAUUGUCAACAGACUCAGACCCUGAUGAUCAUUAACGAAAUAUUCAAAAGCAGUACAUCAUUAUAGUUUGACAUUAUGUAGUAUGAGUAUCUAGUAUUUACCAUUAGAUAUACGAGGGAUGCAAACAUAACCAUGUUGAAUCGGCCCGUGUAGGCAUCUGCUAAGAACCCUCCGAUUAAAGGCAUGAUUGUCGUCACUCCUGCCCAAUAGUUCACAUUUUUCGCUGCGGUCUUGAUGUCUUGAUGAAGCACUUGGGUGAGGUAUGUGAUGAGAUUUGUUGCUAUUCCAAAGUAACUUAGCCUCUCACUGAAUUCAAUAGCUGAUUCAGGUACAAAUUCAACAGAUUUGUUGUUAUCUGUAGCUAAAUUCAAUAGCUAGCUUUUUUCAUUCAGUUGCCAACAGAAUUGAACUUGCUGGUCUAAAUUGCUAAAAGCCAAGAAACUAACUAGUUAGCCACAUAACAUCUUACAUCUCAGUUACCUUAGUUAAAGAACCAAAAACAUGGCACCAGACUGGUUCAGAAGUAACUUGCCUAGUGAGUUUUAAACCACGUCAAGAGGGUUUCUUAUAUUUUCACUGGAAAAUAUUACAACUGAGAUAAAUUAUAAGAAAAUAAUCAAUGACAUAAUCCGAAGUUUAAAGAGAAAUGAAAGUUAAGAGUUGGUUAGCUAUGCGCACAGACAGUACAACUUACUGAUGAUAAAGAGAGAAGCUUUCCAAACGCCGGUUGAAGCACGUAGAGGAACUCUACCUUUGUAGUCUAUAGAUGAAUCAUGAACCAAGUUCUCUUCCUCCCUUCUUGUUUCUCCACCUGAUCUUUUUAAUCUCUUUUCGACUUCUUGCCGGUCCAUCUUUGGUAUUGGUAAUGAAACGAAAGGAAAGAUAUGGUCUGUUUAGAACUUGGAAGUUUUGCUAUCAAGUUUUGCUUUCUUUUCACUGAUUUUAUAGCUGGGGGAUUCUAUCCUGGGGUAGAAACGUGCUCAAUUUGAGUUUCUUAUUGAAGCAAAUUAGUUGCAGUCUACUAUUGGUUACAGGCACCAGUAACUAUAUUAAACCUAAGCAAUUAUCCAGAAAACUACUCACAUUUCUGCGUACUCCACUCCCAUUCAAAUAUAUUCAAGCAGCCAAAGAUAAACUAGUUUAUGUGAUAAGGGACUAAGAAUAUUGUUCCAUCAAGUAAAAGCAUGAGCACUUAGGAAAACUGGUUACUGUUAACUAUUUACAGAACUAAUCUAUUCUUAAUCUCUGUUUGGAGACGGUACUAGGAAACUUUUGCUACCAGUGAAUGUUUGAAAAAUCUUAAAACCUUAGUAAUUUAACAAAAAAAUUAAGAUGCUGUUUGAACAAAGACCUGGUUCUUCCAGCCUCAGAUGCUUUGGAAAGAAUACAAAUUUCAAAAUGCUAAAACUAAUGAUAGGUUAACGGAUACGAUCGAUUCCCAUGUAUUGUUAAUUUGUUUAUUAAAGUUUAACCAGUAAUCCUACAUAUUAAAUAGUGUAACAAUGGUGUUCAAUUGACAUCCUACCACAGAGCAGCUUCAUAUUCUUAGCUUCCACAGGCACUCAGUGGAGAAAAAGUUGUACCUAUUCUUUGUUGAUUCUUAAUUAAGAAGCUUCUUUGUGCUUGUUCUAAGCAUAGCUGGCCUAAAAAUUAAAGGGUAAGAUUGUUAUUAUAGUGGUUAGAUACAUAAGAAGGAAAGAGGAUUUUGACAUUAAGCCUUGAUUUGUUUUGGUCAACUGAAACUUUGUGGUUCUCUGUUGGGGCAUAUGAAUGAUGAGUAGAUUGUGAACAAGAACCAAGACAUGUAUGGAAUCUGCAAUUGUAAUGUUAACAAUACACUUUUGCCUUAGUUCUACCAAGCAUAUGGGAUUCCUCAAGUUAUUCAGGAUUAACUGGAAAGUUCUGAAGCAGUUUCAUCAUCUGCUGUCUCAGAUAAUGCCUCCUUCAUAUAACCAUUUCUAUUUGAGUUGUUAAAUUAUCAAAUCCUUAGCCUAUCUUUGGAUGUAUGUUACUGGGUGAUUUGAAUAAGUUUCAUUCUCUAUCUUUUAGUUUUAUUUUCUUGGUAAAGAAAAAGCACAAACUAUAUACAAAGUUACAUGGAAAAAUUUAUUCCAGUAUCAAUUAAGUAUAAAGAUUCACAAUAUCAAAAAGAAUACAUACAAGAAGAAAAGUUAAGAAUACAAUGAAACUAUACUUACAAUGCUUGUUUCAUCUAAUCUUUGCCUAUACUGAGACUCUGAGAGAGACCCUGAUUAGCCUCCCACACUUCCAGGUACCUGUGCAAAAGAUUAAACAGCCCAAGGGUGUCCUGUUCAUCCUCUACUAUGGUCAACUAAAACCAGCCCUGCUCUUUGUCUUUGGCCUCUAGAAGUAAAUACAUAACAGAAGCUAAAAUGUAGCCCCCUUUUUGAGUUAAAAAACAAAAAAAACAUUAAAAAAAAAAAACAAAAUUGUAUAUGCCUACUUCCCCUUUUCUUUUUAUAGUUAGAUAUUCUUAGUUAGAGCAACAAGCAGUUUUCUUAUUCGCGUCACAGGAUAAAUUUGCAACAUUGAUGGUAGUUCCUUGAGGAAGUCCAGUGGUCGAAGCUGCCUCCUGUGCUGCUAAUGCUUUCUUGCUUAUUAUGUGGUAUAUAUCCAACAAAAUUGUCUGAAAUGCAUUCUCAACAUUAUGGGCCUCCAAUGCUGAAGUUUCUAAGAACGAGAGACCUUCCUUCUCAGCCAAGAGUUGAGCAUCUUCUCCUGGGACACCUCUCAGGUGAUUAAGGUCAGAUUUGUUACCGGCCAUCAUAAUGACAAUAUUUGAGUCUGCAUGGUCUCUGAGUUCACGUAGCCACCUUGUGACAUUGUCAAACGUUUGCCUUUUGGUAAUGUCAUAAACCAAUAGAGCGCCAACAGCACCUCUGUAGUAAGCACUGGUAAUGGCUCGGUACCUCUCUUGACCUGCUGUGUCCCAUAUUUGGGCUUUCACUGUCUUCCCCUCUACCUACAUCAGUAUAACAUGAUGAAUCUGCUGUAAAUACAUACUUACUUAAGAUGGAAACUAUACACAAGGCCACUGAUGAAAAGAAGCAUGCUGCUACUUAUGGAAUCUUAACAUUCGUUAUUGCUCUAGUUUCAACUGUUGCUAUCUAGUAAAGGACCUGUUUUAUGAAGAUAAGGAAUUAAGAGAGACUUGUCAAAUAUCAUGUGCAAUUACUGCCUAAAAUUUGUCUGCGGACAUGGUUUCUGCCGUUCAUCAUAAGAAAACACCAUACAUAUCCUACACAAACCCUGGACACUACGUACCUACACGUUAUAUCUUGAAUUUAGCUAUGGCAGUAUCAUAUUGGGGUACAGAUUGGGUAAUUUGGGUUCAAAUGCUACCAAACAAGCUAAGUAAAAUACAGAACAGCAGGCAAGGACUUUACCUGAAUCAUAAAGCUAGUCAUGUAUGUACAAGUAGCACCAAGGGACUUUCUUUUCAAACAGAGCCUAUAAGAACAAUAACCAGCUAGUUUGGGAAACUUGGCCUGUGUCCACAGUAGAAGGCGAUUAAAAAUCUUCUAUCAGCCAAAAGUUCUAUUUAUUUGCUUUAUCCAUCUUGCAUUUAGUUUUGUCUUGAUUUCAAUCAAUGUGAAUUGAUCGUAGGGGAUUUGUAUGAUUCUAAUCCUUCAUGGAUUGCUCAACUGAAAAUUUGAUGGAUUUCCCAUACCUCCUAAUCUAACAAUCUAACACACCCUUGUGCUCUAGAGUUUCUCACACUCAUCAUUGUCUGAUCACAUCCUUUGGUCUCUUUGAAAGAACUGAUCUUGAAAUAGACAUUAUCUUAGUACCUCCAAAUCCUAGAAACUAAUACCAUCACUCCAAUACAUAGAAAUCUAAACCAUAUGCCCUAUGAACAAGAAAUAACCAAACUUCACUACACCAUUGUUUUCUAUUCAAAACAGAAAAACCUGAUCAAUCAUACACCCAACAUUGAUGUUCCAAGACAAUAAAAUGCAAGAAAAAAUUGGAACUUAAUCUCAACUCUAGAGCAAAAAAAACUAACCUGUAAUGUCCUGGUCGCAAACUCAACUCCAAUGGUGGACUUGGACUCCAAACAAAACUCAUUCCUCGUAAACCUGGAAAGAAUGUUGGACUUCCCAACACCCGAAUCUCCAAUCAACACAAUCUUGAAGAGGUAAUCAUAUUCGUGAUCGACCUUGUACGCCAUAUGUUCUAAUCCUUACACCACCCCAGCCCUGCAGGAUCCAAAUUCACCCAAAAACACCAAGAAAAAACAAUCAAUGCCAUUAACAAGAAUCAAACAGCAUUUCCCUUUACCAACAUAUUUAGUGUCAAAUAAAAAUGGAGAGUGGUACAGAAGAAGGACAGAGACUAACCAUAAAACAAUGGUGUGCAGAAUGGUGAUAAAGAAUGAUUAUUUGGGAUUUGAAAACGCUCUUUUGUUGGCGAUUUAUUGCAUUGAAGAAAUUUGAGAAAGGGAGAAGAGAAGAAAAAGAAGAAGAAUGAGAAUGAGAAGAAACAGAAAACGGAUGAAAGUGCACUUAAAACGGCCUUUUCACGAGCGGAACUCGGAGGACCAACUGGACGACAAGGCGUACGUGCUAGAUACCUCACACGGAACAACACGUCGCUCAUAGCACCAAAGAGAACCGAACUGGACCAGUCAUUUUUAUUUUUUUUAUUUUUUGGGGUGGUCUGAGGACCAGUCAUGUUCGACUGAGGAACAACUAACUUAGAAAUGAUCGGAGCUUACUAGCAAUCUCUCACAUGCGCUGCAUGUAUAUAAACACAGUAGCCUUUGGAGGAGGAGGAAGCACCCGCCUAACACAGACCUACCUAAUGGAUCGACAACGGCAGCGCUGCUAGCUAGCUUAUCUGGAGCGACUAGUCAGCAUGGGACUCCGACCUUAGUGUUUAGGACACAAAUACCAAUUGAUGUUGCCAAACACAUUUUGACACAUUUUGAUUUUAUUUUAUUUUUAAAAAUAAAAAUACAGACAUGAAAACGUUACUGAACCCACCUCUAACUUACAUCAAAUAAUACAACACUAUGACUCUUUAUUUUUCUUUCGGGAUAAACUAAACAAUUUUGUAAAUGAUGAUUAAUCAUUAAUGGAGGUCCGUUAACAUCUAUAUAUAUGCUUGUACGUGAUGUCAUCACACGAACAACGAAUGAAUGAAGCAAGUUCAAAUUGUCCUCCUCUGUUCUAUAGUUCUUGUUCUACCAAACUCCUUUCUCAAACACUAGCUCCUAAAUACAUAUCCUAAACACAUAGUCCUGGCCUACUACCACUAAACACUUGUGCUGUUGUGCACCAUACUCUAAUCAAAUAACAAAGCCACAAAUUGUAACACAAUAAUAGAAGACACUUCUGGUGGCUGGUAGUGUACCAAUUUUUCAAGGAUAUGAAAGCAAAUUCAUAAAGAUCUCUUCAAUCCUUUUGUCCGUUUGGGUAUGGCUGGAAGCCACCAAGUUUUAACACCGUUCGGUGUGCCAAGCAGUACGCUGGCCAACUGUGAUUCUUCCUUCGUGACUCCUAGGGGAAGCCUUGCUCUUAUGGAUCGGUCAGUGAGGCUGAGGCCGGCGGCUGCCAUUUUAGCUGGGGAGUUGAUAUUGGCUGCCUCCUUGCAUGAAAGAAAUGUCAUUGUUGAAUCAGAUGCCAAGGAUAUCCUUAGACUAAGAUAUGAUAAGAUUGUGUUUAAGCUGAUCAAGAGAUCCGUAUUACCUUAACGUACCUUUGCAAAUUUAUCAUAUAUCAAGAUAUGGGAAUAUCUUGGUUAGUUAGGAAAAAGGAGGAUCAUGAGGAAUAACGAGACCAAUUAGGAGUCAAGGGGAAUAUAUGGCAUAAACCCCCUCAAAUUGAACCAGGCUUAUCCCUUUAUCCACUUGGGAUUUGAUUCCAAUGAUAAUAUACACCACGUGACUUAGAAGUAAAACAUUGUUUAUAGUGUUCGGCUCUAAGUAUUUCAUAAUCAAAAGUUGUUAGAUUAACAUUACGUGACAAUCACUUAUUUGUUUUGAGAAAAAUAUCAUUAAACGGGAAUACAAUAUUACAACCAUGAGAGAUAUCGGUGAUAGAAAUAAAUUCCUUACUUUACUCCCUACCUACCCGAAACACCAACGAUUACAGUGGACAAAAACUGAUAGGGGUACAACAGUAACCUAACCUAAUUAAAAAGUCUUGAUACAUCUUUACGGUCAACUUCAAGAAGAAACAACAUUUUCAAACACUACAUGUCAAAACUACUAGCAUAUAUGCACAUGUAACAUCCCUAUUACAUUAACAACAAGAACUAACCGACGUUAACAUAGUCCAUAGAAAUGACACAAGAAUUAUGGCUCACCCCAAGACACGACCGAUGACCUCAUGAUGUGGCAAUCACUUUUUAAAUUCACGAUAUAUAAAUUUCAUCACUCAAAAAACUAUUUAGAUUAUAAUUUGUUUUCUUCUAUUUUAUCUAAGACGAUAUCUAUGAGUUGUGAUCUUGUUUUCUUUCAAUUUAUCUGAGAUGAUAUUUAUGAAUUAUGGCCUGAUUAGUUAAGUAGCUUAAUGAUGAUGUCGGCUUUCAAAGUUCGUUUAGCCUGUGAUGAAAAAGGCAAAUCAGAAAGUGACCGGUCAGUUAUGCAAAUGGGGAAGAGGACAUAACAAAGGUCAACCCAACAAUUGGAGAUGAGGGACACGCGGCUGAAGGGGCAUAGAUCAAGUUGGCCACGUGUCGAGGACAGGGGGAAGAGGGAAUGGGAUGUAGGCACAUGGGGCCAUGGGGGGACUGGUCGAGUCGAUGAGGCAGGGGAUGGGUUCGAUCAUCAUGCAAAACCCUAUUCCCCUUUGCUUUUCUGGGGCCUAUAAAUACAGAACACAGUUUCAAUCUCUCUUCCUCCUCUAUCUGCAAAUCUUCACGUGCUUGCUUUCUGUACACUCUUAUUUGUUCUCUUCCUCAUCUUCAAAUCUGCAAACCUUAUCCGAUUUCUGCCUUCUGGGUCGUUAAAAAGAGAUAACUAUCACACCCAUCAGUAGUUAAAGUCGUUCGUUGCCAACCGACAGAGAAACCUAACACAGCAGUAACGACCUAACCAGUUAGCUAUGGAUCAGAACAAGAAGCAAGUCGGUGCCCCAAGCCAUAGCCAUGGCUCUUCUUCUUCUUCUUCUUCUUCUUCUUCAACAACCACGAACCUUGACCAUCUCUUUGGUCCUAGGGACUCGUCGACGUCUUCAGCUUCUUCAUCUCUGUUCAGCACUAUUUUCCCACCACCCUCAUCCACGGUACCAUAUCGAUCAUUAUCAGAUCUUCUUUUUUUUGGGAGAUUGAUCGCAAAUCUCAUUGACCUGAAUCUUUUUUCUUUUUUUGAUUAUUAGGGACCAGGGAGAGAUAGAAUUUCUGGUAAUGCUACUCGAGGCAGCAGCAAGAGUUCUGUGUAUCAGAAUAACGAAGGUACGGAUCCGCCUUGCAACUUUAACUCGUCAAUCUACUACGGCGGCCAAGAAAACUAUAAUGUACCGAAAAGUGGGAGUACAUACGAAUCCAAGAAUCACCAGCAUAACGUAAGUAUAUACUUGAUAAACACUGUUAGUUAAUUUAUAACAGAAAAUAUUGCUUCAUCUACGAACUAUAUAUGGGAUGACUAUAUAUAUACAGUAGGGUUUAUAGUUUUUGUUUCUUCUUUUACUUGAUUUAUAUGAAGUACUGUAUAUACUGAUAUACGUACGUUCUUAAUUCUGAUCAGUUUAAGAAAGAUGGGGGUGAUGAUGACGAAUCGAGUGGAAGUAAUUCAAACAGUACUUCAAGAGGAAACUGGUGGAAGGGUAUGAUAAAUUGCUCAUGGUUAAUUAAUCACUGAUAAUCAACAUUAUAAUUAAGUGUGUAUAUUCUAGAUUACCAACUAAUUAUUCUGUACAUAUAUACUAAAGAUUAGAAUUUACAUUAUGCAGGGUCACUUUAUUACUAAAUUCUUCUGCACGUACUAUUUGAACUCACCACCCUAUGGAAGAGGUAAUUUUAUAACCUAAGUUCUUUGUCUACCUUGCGUCUUUUAGCAUGAAGAUUCAUAUAUUGCACUUAUUAAGUUGCCUACAGUUUUGGGGUUUUCUGACUGAAAAAGUGAGUGCUUCUGAUUUUGCAGGUGUGUGUCGCUCUAUGAGACUAUCCAAUCUACCUUAGUUGAGUUCAGCCAAAAAAAAAAAAAAAAAAAAAAUACUACCUUAGUUGACGCUAUGGAAAUAAGAUGGUGUGUUAUAGUAUGUACAUGGUAGCAAGCAGAGAAGAACUUCGACUUACCUAAACUAGCUUGUUGGAAGAAUCCAUCCACAGCUAGCUAGCUAGUGAUUAAGUUUGGGCAAGUUAUGAGUGAAUAGUGAUGUGUAAUAGUUACUGUUCUACAUGUAACUAACCUCCUUAAUCUUUCAUGUAGUCCUCCGUUUUAUAUAUGUGUUUUGGGGUUCAGUAAAUGUUCUCCUCUUACUUCUCUGCGUUUUUGAAGCUUGGCACCGUAUAAUCUGCAAAAGUGUUAUGAAUACUUCGUCAUUUUACACAAUUUUGGCUAAGUAAAUGUAUGAAAUUAAAAGUUCAAAGAGAAUAAAAUAGAAAAAGACACGAACAAUUAAUUGAUUACCUCCACUCUUACAUACAUUGUAACUCGAGUGCGGAUUGUUUGCGUCCUUUAGCUAGCUAGGGACGAGGUUAUGAAAAUUCUGGCUUGAGUCCACCGCUCCGAUCAUGAGCUUCUAUAGAGUACAAUGGCCGGCACAGAGGCGCCGUAUGUGUACUUACCUUCUUCACCGGAGCACAACCACUUCUUAGAAACCUCCGACUUCUCUCUUUGUAAUGCUGCCGCACACAGUGGCAUUGUCUACCAAAACCAUCCAGUCUUGAACAUGGAUAAGCGUGGUCCGUAAAUCUUUAUCGUACCAAUAAAGGUUGUUAGGUUUUAAUCAUAAAAUGUCUCGAUCUAAUUAUAAAAUGUCUAAUCAUAAAGUGUUAGGUUUUAAUCAUAAAAUGUCUCGGUCUAAUUAUAUGGUCCAUCCACUUUUAAUUUAUAUUUUAUUUGUCAAUUUUCUGAUGUGAGAUAUUUCCUCUCCGUUCACUUUCCCACACUAUCAACAAACCCUAAAAUCGUUUCUACAAUAACAAACAAAUUCAGCCAAGAUCGAUGUUGAAAAGGUUCUUAAUUGAUUCCAAUUUUGUGAUUGAUUGAUUCACGUGUUACUGAAAAUGUUUGCUAUACACAUAAAUCUCUAUCUAGCUAGAUUUGCAUUAGCUCAUUUAACUUGUGGCAUAUAUCCAUGUUAGCAAUAUCAAAAUUUGUUUUCAAGAUCAGUUUAAUUAUAUAAAGUGGAACAUACUUGAGCUGAGCAUUCUCUCGAUCGAAUCUGUCAGCCACCACGUACAUUACAGCACCAAUAAUUAAACUUUCUCUCUAUUUUUCUAAGUUGACCGAAUGUCCAAGUUUCUUGCUAGAUGUGCAAUAUAAUAUGGAAGUGUGUAUGUCGGUAACUAAAGUGAAGCUCCAACUCAGUGAGAUGCUCACCCUUCCUCUUAAUAUUAUCUUCAAUUUACAACUUUAUAUAUUACAAGAUUUACGAGCACUUUAAAAAUUAAUAUGCAUAUAUGCCUAUAUGGUGAUCAUACUAUGAUGAACACCUUCACACUCAUAACCCCUUGGUGUACUGGAAUACUUCUACUUUCAGGCGUGGUUCCGCUUUGCUUUGCAGUUUUUAGAAAGAGGCAAAGAGGGCGCAGAGGCGAUGACUCGGUUUUCUGAUCAAUUUUUUCCCUCAUUGCAUCACUCAGCUAAAACCUCCACAAUCCGAUUUUCUUGCUGCAAUGCAUGGAUCAAGCUUCCAACAAGCUCUCUGUGUGCUAAUGCUACCACAUUCCCCUCCCCAUGACUUCCAGUAGUCCAGUACCACCAUUACCACCAAAAAUGGCACUGUGUUAUCGAGAAUCACUCUUCCUCCCAAAUCAAGAGUGAUUCUCCUCUCUUAAAUGGCUCCUGAUUAUACGCUAUUGUGAAUUUGUGAUUACUGUAUUCAAUAUUGUAGAUUUCUUCCCAUAGUUGUGUAACAGUAUAGCAGCUGUAUCUAUAUAUGUGUACCAGAAGAAGAAAGCAAACCUACUCAUGUAGUCAUAGUGCAUCUUGACAAUUGGGGUAAGAACAGAUACGUUUUAUUCAAGUUGUCAACUUUAUACACGGGCGGAGCCGAAGCAAGUGUUGGUAGGGCCAACUAAGUUUUUUGGAGUUAAAAAAAAUCUUAGGUAUAUUAUGUUUUUGUUUGUUUUUUUAUUUUUGAUAUAUGUAUUUUUGUUCAGUUAAGCCCACGUACCCAACUUCCUGACUAACUGUGCAUCUCCUUUUUUUUAAUACGUGAUUACGUCUUUAUUCUUCAGUUCCUCAAUUUAUCAAUCGCUCUUUCUUGUAGUCUUCUCCUUCUUAAAUCUUAAAAAAUCCAAGCUUUUGGGAAAAAUUUUGUUGAGUUUUCAAAUUUGUCUUUAAUUUUUAGAAAUUUCUUCUACUUUUAUUGACGCCUAUUUUUUUUGAAGACUUAUUAUCGUCUACUUGAGUUCCUACAUUUUGUAUUAUUGUAUCUAAAAUUUUUUAUUGGUCUUCGGCCAAAUUGAAGCCCACCCUAUGUUCAGAUCCGAGAUCCGCCACUAAUUUUAUGGGCUGCAAAAUUUGAGGACAAAUUUUCCUUGAUCCCUUUCAAAUCGAACCUAAUUGUUUGGGUUGAAUGUACUAAUGGUUUUCUCUGUGUUUGCUUUGAUAUAUGGAACCCUGUUCUUAAGGUUUAGCUUCCACAAUUAAUCUCGCUUCUUUUAGAAAUUAGAAUGAACCGGUUCUAAAUCUUCUGCUAGACCUGAAAUGAUAACAUUAACUAUCUUGGCAAAUAGGGGAAUCAAGACCAGCCAAGGUACGUGCCUUCUGCAAUUAAUCUUUGAUUUCAGCCAACACAGUCUCAUUAAUUAGGUUACUUAGUUUCUAGAAGCCUACUCAGAAAUUGGAGUUCAACCUAAGAAGCAAAAGAGAUGCCAAACUACAGAUUAUAAAGCUGAUGGUGAUAGCUGAUGAAAGUCAUCUCAUUUGGAACUUGUAACUAUAAAAUUUGGUUGGGACAUUCUACACCUAGCUCGUUGAUGAACAAAGAUGGAAAACAAAUACAUUCAAUUGCUUCAUAUGGUGUGGUAUUUUUACACAUCUCUCUGUAUUGAGAUGCCAUGAACAUGUACUGCAGAUUUUAUCAUUACUAAAACCAAGUCUGAAUGUUUUUUCAAAUCAUGUGAUUAAUUGAUUAGCAAGUCAUUAUUUGUUGCAUUUUUGGGUGAUUUUGAUGAUAACAUGAAGAUUAUGAAGAAGGUUAAACUUGAACACAAACACCAUUAUUUAUUAUUUCAGGUGUCUGGAUAUCAUCAUAGUAAAAAGCUACAAGUAGUAACUGAGGCAGUGUGAUACAAUCUCCAGCACUUCUUGGACAGUCUUCACUCUUCAGGGUAAUGUAUAGGCUGCCAAAAAAAAAAAAAAGAAGAAUAAAGAGUGUUAAUUUCAAAUGAUAAUCCAAGGAGCAUCAACAAAAACUGAUUGAACUCGAUAAACAGUGUUGAAAAUUUCCACAAACCUCCGCACUUGUAGCCAAUAGGACGAUCAGGAAUGUUACAACGUUUUGGAAUAGUAAUAGCAAUUUCUGGUUUCACUCCUGAACUCUUUGCAGUAUUAGAAAGCAUCACGGCACAGAGGCAGCUCGGGUUCUGACCUAUCCUCUUUACCUGAGUGCAGCACUUAGCAGAAACUGCAGCAUUCUCACUUUGUGCUGCUGAUGCACACGGAAUCAGCUUCCAAGCCUCACUGUCAGGGCUAGAUUUUCCACAUUCACCAGCCCCAUAAGCCGCAUUGAACUGAGCAACACCCAGAAGGACAACGAAAGCAACAAGGCAAAUGUUCUUCAUUGCAGCUUCCAUUUCCUCAAUCUAAUGAAGAAACACUUGCUCAGCUUCCUGAUUUAUACUACAAGAAGCAACUCAAAAGGCACUCACACUAUAAACCCACCAGACAUAAGUGGAGAUAGCACUAUGAAGGAGGCAUAUAGUCUAUUGCAGCACCUAAUCCUUCAGGCAAUGGAUUAUGAUUACCUGGCAAAUAAGUCCAAUGAACAUAAUCUACACUCAAGUACCAUUCCAUUACUUAUGUCAUUCAUCACAAGAGGCCAAGCAGCAGCACACGCUAGACACCUUAGCAGAAAGACAGAAACCCACUCAAAACAUCUCCCCAGCUACACUACUUCAAUAUUGCUCCUCUAGAUUAUAAGCCCAUAAGCUAUAGCUCAAAUGUCACUUGCUCAAUUACCUCCUACUUCAACAUUGUUCCUCUAGUAACCUAAAGUUCAAUUCUUCAAAAUUUUAUGAACUGCAAAGCAUCAAGAAACUAACAUCUUCUUUAUAAUGACAACAAUUCCAUCGUUAGAUUAGUUCAUUGUAUACGAGACACACCGCCGCAAUCGGUGACUAAUCUAACAAUAAGAGUGUUAAGUAAUUUAAGAUAUCAUCACUAAUAACAGUACAACGCAUACAGUUACAUAGCAUUAAUCAAGAUCAAAUCUUUUCUGCGAUACACCACUCACAGUAUCAUCAUCACCGCGUGAAAGCGUAGAGAACAGUGACGACGUAGAUGACAAGCGCCACCGGGACCAAGAUGACGAGAGGGAUGACGGCGGCGAGGGUGUGGUCGCUGCCACACGCGAGAGUGCCGAGCUUGAUCUGGACGACGUUGACCAAGGCGAGCAUGAGGAAGACGCAGCCGGAGACGGAGCCGAGGCCGGAGACGAGCAUGCCGGCGCGGAGAAGGGUGCUGUUGACGCGGGCGAGAAUCUCGGCGGGGUGGUAGGAGGGGAUCCGGGUGAGGCGGAUCCCCUGUUUCAGGCCCAGGGCGACGAGGCUGGAGAAGAGGAAGGAGGAGAAGGAGUACACGUGGAAGGCGACGAGGUCCUGCGCGACGGACGGGCCGGGGGUGCACGUGGCGGAGUCUGGUGGCUCGAUGAGGGUGUUGGAAGGGUCUCUGGGGUCCCAUGUGAGGCCGAUGAAGACGGCCAGGGUGAAGAGGGAGUUCACGGUGACGAUGCCGUCCAGGGCCGUCAUGUGGAUGGUGGUUCCGGCCGAGGGCAUUUUGGGAAAUAUAAUUGGUCAAGUGGCGAGCUUUUGCAGACUGCGAAAUUUCCGAGAUUUCAGUGCGACUGUUGAUUCUGUUGAGUGUGGAAGGAAGAUGGCGAAGAAAAACGUUUUAUUUUCGAAAACGACGUCGUAUUUCAGGAAAUAAACGAAAUGCUAAAAACAAGAUGCCCUAAACGACGUCGUUUGGUAGAAAAUGAAUGAAAAAAAGAAGCGCCGUUGCCGGGGAUCGAACCCGGGUCACCCGCGUGACAGGCGGGAAUACUUACCACUAUACUACAACGACCUUAUUGCUACGUUUUGUCUAGUUGAUCUAUAAAACUAAAAAUUGUAUUGAACUCAUCCCCAUUUUAAGGUGUAAAGUAAAUUCAUCAAUUUUUUUUUUUUUUUAGAAUGUUGUCAUCAGCUAUUGGAAUUACAAAGAAAUUGGACAAGCAAUCACUUGUCGAUAUAUUCUUUCGGGAUAAAUUAACAAACAUUCUGAUGUGAUGUCUCUAUGCUAUCUAUUUGUAGCUACAUUCAAAUGCAAACAUGUAAAGCAGGGACUUAACAAACAGAUUAAAUUCCCCCCUCUAACACACAAAUCAUAAGUACUUAGUUACACCAAGAGGGUAGUAGUAGAGGUUUGCUACCUUGAACUUCCUUUGCUUCUCUAGUUCUAUCAUUUCUUUCGAAUUCUGUGCCUCAGAAACUUCUAGGACUGGUUUAGGAGGCAAAACCUCAACGUGAUUUGAUCCCAUUUUGGUGGGAAGAGUCCUUCUGACGAUCCAAAGUUUCUGUGCCAUGUAUGUUUGGUAUGGAAACAGACCCUUCAACGGUGUUGCUACAUAUCCUUGGCUUUGUCUCGACACCAAGAUAAUUUGUCAAGACUCUUCUCACUCCAAAGCCGCGACGAGGAGGCUUGUCAACAUUGUUGGUGUUGUUGCUGCGGAGAAAAGGAGUUCUCUCUCCCCUUGCAGGGCUGAUUAAGGGUGCAGGGGAUAAGUUAGGAUUGGCAGAAGAUCUUUUGAAAGGAGUGCUCGAGUGAGGCACUGAAUAUGUGACUGGAACCUUCUUUCGAGAAAUCACACUGACUGCUGUAACUGAUGAUAUUCUAUCAGUCUGUUUAGCCAAGUCGUCCACAUACAGCAAGUCAUCAAUGCGAGCCACAAUGUUGAAUGCAAGGCUCUCCAGAACUCUUGAAUAGCUUUCAAGAAUGGAUUUUCCAACAUCCUGUAAAGUUUUGAAAAACAAGAAAUGUUACUGUUAAAAGCUUAUAAGGUGAUACACAGAAUUAGAGAAAAAUUACUUCAAAGUUGUCUAACCUUGUUGUACUGAAUUUUGCUGGUGUCCAAGAUAGUUUGUGUAAGACAAGGAAAACGCUGCUUUAAAGAAAGCAGGAGGCUUUCAGCUCUUUCUGCCAGCAAUGCUCUCUUAUCCACAUCGAUCACUAAGUCCUUGACCAUUUCCCAUGAUGACUUUGUAGUGGAGCGGUUUGGAACAGUUUGUGGUUUUGAGUGACCGUGACCUCUUCGACGCCAAACAAAUAUUGAGGCUUCAACACGGUUUGCAAUCUCAAGAGCAACAUGUUCACUGGACAGAUCAAGGCAAUCAAGCAGAAACUCUGGUGAGAACUUAUCUGAGGUAAUAUAUCGGUAGAUUAUGUCCCCAAGGCAGGCCCUCCCAUUCUGAUUACAUAUCACAAAAGUUUAAUGUCAGAUCAUCCUUUCAAAGUAACCAAAGAUCAUCAUGGAAUUGUAAUCAUAUGUAACCUUAGAGUUGUGAAUCAGCACACAAUAAAUCUUAAAUUAGUGUCUAUAUACAAAUGUCACAUUUAAAGUUAAGCACAAUACAGUAUUGAUUUUCAAACCUUAGGAAGAGUUUCCAAGUAUGAUUCUGGAACUUCCAUAUCUGCUAAAGCAAGGUUAUUGAUAGCCAUUGCAGCUUUAAGUAUCUGAUUUGUGCAUUCCCUUGUGUGAUGCAACUGCUUUCUUGUACUUUCACUGAGACCAUCAGAUGCUACACGUGGUACAGGUAGCCACCACUUCUCCUCUUGCCGCUGGACUGUUUUGCGAAAAGAGGCUGAGCCAUCUCCUUCUGGGGCUAUAACUCCUUGAUCAACAUACCAGAACUCUGUAUUGGCAAAACUCUCUAGUAUAUCCUAGAUAAGGAAAAAUGAGCAGGUUAAUACUAAUGACUUCCAAAACUGAAAACAGCACGUUAUGCAAUUAUCAAGGGUAGGACUCACAAGAAGCAUAUUGUCAAGCUUGCGUAGUGCUGGCAGAUUCAUGAAGAUAUCUGAUCUGGGCCUGCAAGUCAUGACCUACAGAUUGCACCGGCAUUAAGAAACAAUGAAUAGGUUUCUGAAACAACCAACAAUGCUGAAGUUUGAUGAUGGCCUUUUAAAGAAAAACAGUAGUACAAUUAGGCUCCCAGCACAUGUCACACAUUAAGUUUUGUAAGUUUAAUUGUUAUGACUUUCCUAUCUUCCCUAAUAAACAAGAGCAGAAUUAAGACCGUAUUAUAAGUAUUUACCUCUAGCUUUUUUCCAUCAGGAAAUGUUUGCCAAGAGGGUAUCAAUUCCACAAUAUGAUCACUAACGCAAAUUAGCCAUUCCAUCUCUCUUUUCCACAUCGAUUUCUUUUCAGAAGGCAAGGGUUCCAACCUCCACAGUUGCCCAAAAAUUGUAGCUUCAUGUUGUACCAAAAAUUUGAAUUAAAUAAAAAAUAAUAAUAUAAAAAAGGAUAGAUACUGGAUUAUACUGAAUUUCAAAUUUCAAUAAUCUGGGAAAAAGAAAAUACCACAAAGAUUGGUGAUGGCAUUUGAAAUAGCCAUGGCUGUGCAGACCCCUUUACCAGACCCUGACAUGUCUUCACCAAGCAACAAUUUUGAAAAUCUCUCUUUCAUCAUAUCCAUCUCUGAAUUUGCAGAAACCCAGAAAACAGUUAAAACAAGCACAAAUAGGCAUAGCUUCCAAAUCCAAAAACAGACAAAAAUCACAGUAAAUCACACAGCAAAGGAAUUAAUCUCAAACAUGUUAAAAGUUUCAAACUUUCACAAAUCUUUAACUACCCAAUAAGCCACAAAUCAUGAAAAACAUAACCCACCUGCAAUUUUGGCAGCCAAAUCCUUAUACUUCAAAUCAUCAACAUUUUCUUUCUCUUCAGCUGCACCCAAAUCAGCUGAGGUUUUGCACAAUUCAGCUUUCCUUAUAGGCCAGCCCAACAAGUUGGGUCCUUUUCUCUUCACUUCCUCACUUGAAGUCUCAUAGCUCGAUCUACUCGAGCUGCUCUCCCUCGACUCGGCACUGGAAUCGGUCAUUGACUCAGUCCCAGCUGAAGACUUGAACCCAGCUCUGUUCUUCUCACAACUCUCCCUUUUCUUUGAUAAAGCUUCCAUCUUUUCAACCUCAGAGUAAGCUUGAACCACACAGGGAAUGCAGAAGAGUUGAGCCAGUGUGCUCAGCUCAAUUGCAUUUGUUUUCAAAAUAUGUGGUGUAAUGUGUGGUGGUGUUAGAUAGGACACACUACUGUGCUAUAUGGUUUUUGUUGUCUAACUCUUUUUUUUGUACAGAAAAUUUGAUUUGUGAGAUGAUGAAGGUAACGUCUCUUUUCGUUUUAUCUCUCUCACCUCUCUCUCUCACUCUCAGAGUAGAGAAUACGUUCAAAAUAUUAAUAAACUAUUGGGCCAUUGUAGAAGAGAGAGUACGGAUUUGUCAAUCCUUUAAUUUACAAGACUACCCCUUUGAUUGUUUGAAUUGAAAGGAACAGGGGGGUUAGGUUUGGAUUUGAGUAACUUGAUGGUGAUGAUUCAGACCAAAAACAAAAACAAAAACUUGAUGGUGAUGAAUGAUGAAGAUGAUGUUGAAUGCCUUAAGAGUGAAACCAGUGGGGUUCUACACAGUGAAGGUAGAAUGGUUCUACACAAUGAAUGUGUUAUUUUCAGCUUGUUACUAUAUUCUUUUAUGAACGAGUUUUUUAUUACGGUAAGACGAUUCUAAUUAUUGUCAAAAUAAUGCAAAACCAAACUCCAAAAUUCAAACUAUGGGAAAGGUGUGACCUGCCAUUUUGUACCCGAAAAACCAAAUCCUGAAGAGUAUUUAAUCUCUGGAAUUUUGCUUUCAUUGUCAUAGGGAUGAUAAUCUAUGAGGACCAUAUAUAGGUAUCGACUAUAGACUAACCCAGAAGGCAAGUUUGAUUGAUAUUUACGUGUCUGGAUUUCUGUUAAUGGCUGUAGUGAUCCCCAUAGUUAAUAUCUUUUAUGAAGAAUGUGAACCUAUUGGUGUAAUUUGGUGAGGGAUUAGGAGGCACUCAUACAUGUCUAUUUGGGUGAAAACAGAUGGAGGGCUAUUUUGGUAAUCUGGGGUUUUCAUUGCAAAAUUUGAAUGGGGAUUCCAGAUUCGGUAGCCGUUUAAAAGGCUGUGUUCAUGUGGGAAGAAAUGGUCCAUCAUCUACAGAAAGCACCUCGGAGAAUGACUCUUUUACCUUAUUCUAUUCACCUCCUAAAUUUCCUUUUGGAUCUUUUUGCUUGAAUUUUAGUGAAAAGUGAAAAAAUGUACACAUUAAAAAGUGCAAAAAAAAUUACUGAGCUUUAGUCUUCUAUGAAGAAGUUGAGGCAUAACGACAUUUUAAAGUUCAAAUAUUAGAGUUUAGGUUAGGGCAACACCAAUCGUGGACUUCUAAGUUCUAAUGCAUGUAUUUCGGGUGCUCUGAAAAUAGUUACAUGAGAACGAGAUGAAAAUCAUGGACUUUUACCAUUCAAGAACUGUUGGUUUCAAUCGGUUUCUCAAGUUUAGCUCAAAAUCGUCUUGGUGUGGUUGCCUUAAGGCAUAGAUGGUAAUCUUUGACAUCAAAGAUUUGGGAGCUGGAUUUGAUUGGUUCACUGAAGUCUUCUGAACUAGGGUUUAUAAAAGAUUGAGAAGAAUGUUCAUAAAAUUCCUCUUUCAUUUCAGGUUGAAGUCCAACUCCCCAAAUGUUGCCAACUUCCAAAAGGUCAAGUGGCCAAGAGUAUAAUGUGGGGUGGUUUUACAUGCAUGGUGGAGUAGGAGCAGCAACAAUUAGAUGUCCAGAAUUUCAAGAUCCCAAGUCCCAAUCAAUUAGACAAUUAGACAAAUGAAUCAAGAACAAAGCAUAAAGCUUGACUUGUAUAUAGCCGUUUGUGACGGCGAAAGCAAUAACUUAUGAAAUCCUUGACUUUGGUAUGUGCAUUGCUUUCCUAAAGUUUGCAUUUUUAAAUCAUCUUCCCCCCUUUUCUAUUCAACUUUGAUAAUCAGUGAGACUAUGAACUAACAUUGAGCUAAUGGACACCGCAGCUAGACAUGCUAGUUUCAAAUAAUUGCUGAUGGGGAUACAUCAUAGCUGAAAGAUUUUGAAUUUGAGCAUGUUCAUCUCUUUUUGCAUAUAGCUUUGUACAAGUAUUUACGUAUAAAUGUAACAUCAUAUUCGAGCUUUGUUGGUAGAGGUUGUGGCUAUCUUGUUUAGCUUAGAAUAUGGAUCUGAAACACACCUCGUUCAAGUUCAACUCUACACCGUGGGAGAAUUUAAACCUUGUAGACCAGGAACCUUAGGAGGGUGACAUUCAACUAUGUGGAAUAGAUUGGUUUGAAUAAAUGGUAUGGAGUGGUACAUAGUACAUGUGAGUAUGUGAGUAAUAGGCGCGCGUCUUUGUCACAAGGAUCCUUUUUUCAAAUUUAAUGACAGAAUUUGGUGAAACCGUGAAUCCAUUUGCUCACCACACCCAAUUCCAAAUUGGGCAACAGGCCAUGCCCCCUCAUAUAAUCCAUCAGCAAAUAUAAAUCUCGUUGGACUUCUCUCCCUCAGCCCACUUGAUCUAGAGAAACCCUGAUAGCGCUCAAUUACAAAUUUACAAUGGAGUGCUUGAAGUAGUACAAAACUAUUGACCAAAAAAAAAAAAAACGUAGUACAGAACUCCACUCCCUCUUGAAACUGUUAUAAUCUAUUUGAUAACUAAAUGCCAUCAUACCUCAAUUUGAAUGUUGGUUAUGUUUGAUUGAUAGUGAUAUAAUGAUCAAUCAGUAUUUCUGCAAGCCCUUGUGACUUGUGAGUUCAUGAUGUUAUGGACUUGGUGCUUCCAUGUUUCUUAAAGAUCAUUCAACUUAUGUAUUUGUCUGAAAGAAGUUGAUAAUUUCACUCUUUUUGGCGAGAAACAACUCUGGCAAGAACAGUUUUGGAAGGACUAAUAAUCAAAGCUUAACAUUCCCAACCGAUCAUGAGAUUGCGAAGUUGUUGUUAGUUGUUACUUCACUAUCAUUUAGACAUUUACAUCUAGCCACCCCAAAGCCUUAAAAAGUAGGUUUGCCAUUGAGUUUAGCUUUGACUUGAACGGGGAUGCUAUAGUUCCUGCUUGUUAGUUUAUUGUGGAUUAUGCAGCUUAUUUGCUUCAUGUGUGUAUAACAGUAUGCUUAUAAGGUAUGUAAUUGAGGUCUGUUACAUUUUCCUUCAUUCAUUUCUCUCCUUUUGUUUUGUUUAGCUUUGAUGAGUAUUGACAUUGUAAUAGUGUCUCAUUGAAUCAAGAACAUCAGAAUUUGAAAGAUAUAAAUGUUGAAUAGGGUUGUAGUUGGUUUUCCAGCUACCCUCAUUUGGCUUCAUUCUGGAAUUGUGUUAUGGCUUAUGAGUAGUUGUUAAGCUAGUAGGUGCAACCAUCACUAGAUCACAAACCCAGAAAUAGUAGAGACAAAAAUACCCCCAUGACUCAGUUUCCCAUUUUGUUGAAAAACUAUCCAAAACCAAUUAUAUAAAGGCUUGGACCAAAAACAGAAGCAGAAGAAUAGAACAUAGAAGGGGAAUUAGAAUCUGAGUAUUUUGUCAUCCAGGAUUCAAUUAGCACCGACACAAUUCAGACAGGAAUCUGCGAGCUGUAGGUUCCGUUUCUCGGGAACUUUAUAUGCAAAGGUUAGUCCUUUAUUUGAUUCCCAGAAUCCCAUUACAAAUCAUUAGGGAAAAAUGAUCUGAAAGAUUACCUGGGAUCAUUCCCGUGCUUUCUUUUGAUGUAUUGGAUCAAAAAGUUUUGAGCUUUAAUGUCUUUCUGUGAUGAAUUACUUAUCUUUGUUGAUUAGGCUGUUUUGUUUCAUUGUUUGGAAUUGGUUGAUUUAGAAAAGUUGAGCUAUUUGUUCAAUCUGUUGAUCGUUUCUGACGUCGGAAUUGAAUCUAAUGGAUGUAAAGUGAUUAGUGAUACUGUAAACCAUGUUCCCACGAAAGAUCAUUUGUAUAUUGGCAAGUGUAUUGCAUAAUCGAAUGUGCAAACAUGUUCAAACUCAGCUUCAAUCAAUAUCAAUUGGAUUAGAAAUUAACGGGUCUAACUGAAUCUCUAAAGUUGAAUUCAUGCUUCAUUCUCUGGAAAGGUAGUAAUGCACAUCUCUUGAUUAAGGCGUGUUCUUUUACAUUAAGAGAAAUUUUUCUACAUUUUUCAUUAUGGUUGUGUAGUUCAGAUACCUUAUAUCUUCGUAUGUUACUACUUACAGCUGCAACAGGUUGAACGGAAUCAUUACCUUAAGAAAGUAUGGGCUAACUGAGUGAACCACUUUGACUGUUUGGAUGUCAUAGUGUUGUAGUAGACAGUGAAUUUGGUUAGUCAUGUGGCCUACAUAUCUGCUGUUUAACAAGAGGGAAGAUGAAGAAGCAUCAGUCGGCAAAAAGUCUGAUUUGAUAGAAUCUUAUCCAUGUGAACAGUCACUGAGAGAUGGCAAAUGCCAUCUUUCUGGCUUGCCAUGCUCGCACUUUGUUGAAGUAAGUGCUUCUGUUUAUAUGCUUGCCUAUCUUAUUGAUAAUCUCUAUUCAAGUCUUUUCAUUUAUACACUCUGAUACAAUACACGGGGUCAGAUUCAAUAGAAGACGGUGAAUUUUAAGUCAGAUUGAAUAUUUUUAGGUGUCUUGGUGCUUAUAGGUCCCACACAUAAACCAGCUAUAUUCUUGGGAUUGUGGCCUCGCCUGUGUUCUGAUGGUAUUUAGGACUGUUGGCAUUGACAGCUGCGAUAUUCAGACAUUGGCAGAGUUAUGUUGCACAAAUAGGUAUUCCCCUAUUUACAUAUUCAACCUUGAUUCCUUGUGUAAUUUUGUUAUAUACUUUCCUCUUUGAACACUGGUCUUUAUAAUUUGUUCAAUGUUUCAUAGGUUAAUGAGUUUGGAGAUUAGUGAUAGAAAGUUUGGAGCAUCGUAAGCCCUGCCUUGAUCUACUGUGAUGAUACUUGUGUUCUAUUUCCAGUGCCAGAUUAUAUUAUUAUUUCCUAAAAGGUCUCUUGUUACAAAAGGGCGCACUAUAUCUUAUUGAUUCUGUUACAUGAGUGACGUGAAAUUUUUCUCUUCUUUUCUCGAUCAAUCACAGGUUCAUCUUGUACUGAUCAAAUAAGUGAAUAUUUGCUGUGAAAUUGGAAUAGAUAUGGAGUAUGAUGUGAAUGCUUGAUACCUUUUUGCUGCUAACUUAGGUUUAUAUUUUAUACAUCAGUCAGUGGCCACAUAUUUGAGCAUUGCACUUGGGUCUAUUAUUAACUUAACCUUAUAUGAAAAGUUUCUGAUACUUCUGUCUCCUGAUAUCUCAUUGCAGCAUCUGGACUGUUGAUCUAGCAUACUUGUUGCAAAAGUUCUCUAUCAGUUUCUCAUACUACACGGUAACAUUUGGAGCAAACCCAAAAUAUUCUGGCGAGACAUUUUACAAGGUGAUUUCCUCUUCUUCAGAUAGAUAAUGAUUUGAAUAACUGUAUUCCUUGCUGGUGAGUGUGAAGUGUGAACUAGGCCAAAAUGCCUAUCUGCAAGUUCCAAAGUGCACUUCUUACUCUAAUUGUCUAUUAUAGAUUUGCAUAUAUGAGUUAUAUGAGAUGAGAAGAAAACUGCAUCCGCUUCUUUGUAUAUCAUGCUUCGAGACACUAGAUGAAUGCAUGAAUGCAAAUGCCACUUAUUGUGCUCAUAUUUGGAAAUGAAAGACAUUUAAAGCAUGUUGCCUCUUUUUUUUCUUUAAAAUGGUUUUGGAUGUAAAGAUGUUGCUUCACAUGAACUUUGCUCGUCCUGUUAUCAUUCUGAUAAACAGAAAAAUUUUGGGUUAUCUAUUCUGCAGGAGCACUUACCUAAUGAUCUGGUGCGAGUUGAUACACUAUUUCAAAAGGCACUGGAAGCUGGAAUUAGGAUAAAGGUAUAAUUGUUUUGGGAAAAGUUAGUUAUAAUUGUUGGCUUCUGUUGUUGCAUUCUAGUACAUUUUUGCAAAAAAAAAAAAGACAAUUUGCAAAAGGGAGUAUUCCCCUGGAUUGGUUAUCUUAUAAAGUGGCACAUCAUAUCUAAGGAGUGUUCUAUUUGUUUAUGACAUGAAGAGUUGAAGUUUAUAUAAUCCAUUGGAGGUAAUAAGGAUUAUGGAAGUUGAUUUUCUGCAAAAGGACAAAAAAUAGAGCUCUGCUUUUAUCUUUUCCAAAUCAAAACAUCAUUCUUUUUCUUGGAGCAAGGCAUUAAACCUUGAUUUUUACAGUGCAGGUCAGUCAGUCAAGAAGAAAUUUGUUUCUUGAUUCUGUGUGGAAAAUACAUUGCCAUAGUAUUGGUUGACCAAUAUAAAUUGAGGUACAACUUCUGCACACUAUCAUCUUUCCUUUUCCCCCUUGAUUGAAAACUUUCCUCCUAUAUUGUUUGAUAUCAAUAGGACAUAUAUACGUGUGAAUGUGUCCUUCCUCUACGUAAUGAAGACAGAUUUAUUAGCAUUUCAUUUGCCAUAUUUCUUAUAUACCAUCUCCAUUUGGCCAUUCUCCUUAUGUAUGGUUGAGUUACAAUUACAGCAUUUAAUUGUGUGCUAAUUGAAGUAUUUCUUGGAAACUUGUAUAACAGCCCAUCUAGUCAUGACAAUGUUAUUAUCUCAGACCUUUGUGCAAGCAACUCUGAUUACACAGGUAGGACUAUUUCUUUUGGAUACACUGGUUCAGUAAGAAUUUAGAUUGAAGUUUUGCUGCCAGUCAAUGUUGACAGUUAUGCUUUUGGUUUGGUACAAGCUAAAUUUAUGGUUUGUGCCAAGCUAAAUGAUACUUUUGUUUUUUCUUUUCUGGAUGAGAAUGAGUGACCUUCAUUGAGGCAAUAUGCUCUAGAUGUAUCAGUGUUUGGAAGGAAGUAAGAACAUGUCAGUCUUAGUGAUACAUUUAGUGAAAUUUAUUCUAGCACCUAUAUUUCCUUGAGAUGUAAGAUCUUUCUAGGCAGUGUCCAAAUAUAGUGAGACAGGUUGUAGAACUCUUGCGUUCUCUGGGCCCAUGGGCCAUUGUUUCAUGAAUGGCUUUGUGUUUCCUAAAAAAGUAGUAGUCGUAAGCAAAAGCUAGUCAAAUCAGUUUUAUCAUAAGAUACCCUUCUAACAUUAGUACACAUUUAGUAGCCGUUAAAGUUAAUCGUUUUCUUGCGAAAUUUGGGUGCCUGUACAAAUUUAUUACUGAGUAAGUUGUUCUCUUGUAUAGGUCAUUAUGUCAUCAUAUGUGGGUAUGACACUGCUACCGAUGAGUUUGAGAUUAGAGAUCCGGCCUGUUCAAGGUAUUGUCUUCACUGCAACUCAAUUCACGUUGGUAAGAAACACUAGUUCAUUAUCAUAUUUCAACCCUAUUUAGGUCAUCUGCAUUGAUGUUUAACUUUGCCAUCUGCUAUAGAGCUUGAUGGCAGACUCAUCUAUUUGGUGACUACCAAAUAUUCCUCAAAAUCUGUGGUGGUAUAUUUGUAAUAGCGAAAAUUACCCAAUCUUUGAAUUUCCUGCUUUGAGUAAUAUUGUUCACAUACUAAAAAGAUAUCCGACUUUGAUGAGUUCUGUUUACCAUCAUGAAGAGUUUAUUUCCUUAGACUCAGAGAGAAACCCCAUGAUGAUCAAUCUUCUAUGAUUUGGAACUGUAAUAUUACUCAUGUAAUUUGAUUAUUACUAAGCUUGUCAUAUGACAUUCCUUUUACUGGGUUCUAACAUCAAAGAGCUAUGAGUACUACUACAGUAUUACCACAAGAAAAUCACAAUGAGCUAAGCUGCCUAAGCAUAAUCUGCAAACACAACUUAGGGGUUGCGAUAUGCUGAAAUGUAGUUGAUACUGCUGAAGAAAAACUAGAUGGAUAUUGUUACUGAACUGGCUUUGAUUUGUCUAUUGUAAACGCACCAGCGUUAACGUACACUUGAACUCUUCUAGGCACCUUCUUGGAUGCGCACAUUUGAAUUGUUCUUUUACUAUUCACAUUACAUCUUCUAUUGGGUACCCAAAUUCAUGUAGUUAAUUCAAGUGUGCAUUCGCAUAAACUAUGCAGGAAACAUGAAAGGGUAUCGUCAACAUGCUUAGAAGAAGCACGUAAAUCCUUUGGUACUGAUGAAGACCUUCUCUUGGUAAUCCAAAUAGAGCCUUCACCAUCUUUUGCUUGCUCAUUAGUACUUAUUGCUAGGUGGUUAUUGGCAUGACUGCAUAAAUAUCUAUGCAUUCAUCUCUUGUGAGGUUUUAUCCAGGGACAGAAAGGAUGGAGAAUGUAGAAAAUUAUCUGUGCUGGGGGUUGGACCUUAUCCCAAAUAAUUAAUAUUGUCUGUAUUUGCAUGCAGAUCUCUUUGAGGAAGAGUAGGAAGCCAGAUAGCCCCUCAAUACAACACCCCCGGAAUGAUAAUAUUAAUUCCUGACUUGUAUUAUUGGUCCAGAAGCAAAGCAUAUAUCACAGGUUCUUCAUGUACAGCAUGUCUUGCAAAGCAAAACAUUAUCUGCAUUGUCUGUUGAUUAAAUAUCCCAAUAUGGACCAGCCUAUCUGAUGACGCUUGCACAGCCAUUAUUCAUACCAAUUACUUGUACACCUUGUAAGUUGUAUCAAUUUUAUUCCAUCUCCAGCAACAGAUUCUUAAAUAUCAAUAAAUUAAGAUCACAUGAUUUUUCCUGGUCUGUUGUCAUUCCUCAAGUUCAUUUCAACUUGUUCUUCAGCUAAAACACUUGGAACCGUUUUUGCCAGUUCCUCAUGGUAGAUUGAUCAGUUUUAUUCAAGCUGAUUGGGCAUGUUAAAGUUCAGAGUGACCUUGUGGUUCAAGUUGUCUCAACUGAGAUUUUCGGGGUAGAAGGGAACGAGAGAGCGUAUUCAGCGCACCCGUCCAUCUUCGCCGUCCAUUUGUCACGGACUUUUGACUUUUUAAAAAUGGACGGCGGAGAUGGACGGCGGAGAUGGACGGGUGCGCGGUGCGCUGUAUAAUUUUCGAGGGAACCAUACAAAUCGGGUCCUCGGCCUUCAAGUUUCAAGCAUAGUAACAUUUAGCUAGAUCCAACCGUAGAAUAGUCGGCAGCCUAUAGUACUUAUCAAUCACUUGCUUAGAUACAUGCAUACAAAUCAUGCAGCCAUCGUUUUCUUCCAUGUUAACUUCAUCCGAUGGUUCAUGCUCUCCUCGUCAGAAUUGUAAAUGUUUCUAUAAUUGAUUUUGGUCCAUUUCCAUGGGGACUUCGUGCCACCAAGUAUGGUUCUUGACCUACUUAACCAAGUCUAAUAUGUUUCUAGUGGCCAAACAUUGGAAGAAGACACACACAUGGACUUGUGCGCACGUACAUGUAUUUUGUAAUACACCAAAUUCCUAAGGUGGGUUUUAGUCCUUGUUUUGGGGUAGUCUUUCUCCACAACUGAGGCACCACUUCCAUGUCUGUGUCUUAAUAAAACCCUUAAAAAACCCUAAUCUAAAACAAACACUAGUCUAUCAACUAUAAACAAUGGAAGAUCAAGAUGGGUAUGGUCAAAGCCUCAAAGUGGGGGGUUGGUUUUUAGCCAUCCCAGAAUCUCCUAGAACAAAGAUUCCGACAGGCAGCUCUCUCUUUUCCGGAGAACACUGAAACAUGUUUCUCCAUACAAAGCCCAUAAGUAGUACUAUGUUUUAUGCAUAUCAUGCAUGCCUCUCUUUGAUUUCUUUUAUAAAAGGCAAGGGGAUGGUAAGCCAUGCUCUGAUCUGGUUCUAUGUCUAUGCCACCAUCACUGUGUUAUCUGUGUAGGUCAGACUAGAAAACAAAAUAAUGGUCACAAAAUCUCUGUUAAUAUCGAAAAAUUAAGUCCGUUCCUUUUGUUUUCCAGCUGUGGUCGCCUUCCAUGUUCAGCUUUGAUUAUUAUCUAUGAUUCUGUACAAGCUAAGUGUAUUCCACGGUGCAUCUUCUGUUGUCCUAUUUAUUCGUUCUGUUCUGAGAUUACAAGAAAUAAACAGACAAGCAACAAAGAUCAAAUCACAUCAUGUAGAAAAGUUAGAGGCAUACGGAGUCAUGGAGAUCGAAAAAGCUCACCCUAGUUGAUAAUGAAGACGUAUGACACAGAAGUUCGUAGCAACACGAAACUAAUUGAUGAUAGUUUAAGAAAGCAAUACAGCACCCUUCAAAAACUCGAAAAAACUUGCUUAGAUUCUAUGGUAUGAUAUAAUACACAUCCAUAAGUUCGGUGAAAGUAGAUAACAAGAGCUAAGAGCAUUAGUGGUUAGUACUAGGAGAAAUUAUUAGAGACCAAAACGCUAUGUAGACUCAGGUACGGGUGGUUUUUCAUUACUCUCAAGACGCCCUCCAACUUGUAAGCCUACUCUAAAAACCACCAAAGUCCCCGCUUUGAAUUGCAUGUUAAAGAGCCUGUAUGUAUGGGUAUUAGCCAUGAGGAGACAAGUACCCUUCUAAAACCAGCUAAGUUGUCAUGGUGAGCAUGAUCAUUAUUAAUCAUCAAGUCCUGUAUAAUUCAGCUAUUUUGUGCCCACAUUGCUUGAUUUAGAUCCUAGCUCCCUCCAGGACUCCUCUUAUUUUGUCUGUUGGUUUUUUCAUUUUCCCUUCCAUUUCUGGGUCGAAAUGACAGCAGGGUACGUGGCUCCGAUCCGGUUUGUUCAAUAUGUUUGGCCCCAAAAGGAUGUGAUAUUGAGAAUCCAAGCCAAAGAGAAAGAGAAGAAGGAAGCAUGUGCAUCCUCUACUUGUCCCAAUUGAUGGAGACUAUGCCCCUCUCAUUAGUCAGCUUGACAUAACACCUCUAGCCUCUGUCGAUUCUCUUCUCUAUUAUUUAUGCACUGCCUUGCUCCCUCGUUUGGUUCAUUGUAGAAAUCUUUAGGCAGCGCCGUUGGUCACAGAUCAAACAAAUCGGCUUCUGAUCAAAUCAGGUCCAAGUUCAAUGUGCAAUAUAAUCACUGCAUUUGGUGACAUUUGGAGGCAACUAGGCGUCUGAUAGUGUGACACACAUAUACUGGAUCAUGGAUUCACAUCAUAAGAAGAAGAAGCCAGAUCCAGUGAACCAGUUUACUUCAAUGGAAGUGGGAAUCAAUUCACCAACUUGUCAUGCAGACCUGGAUACAUAUGUGACUUCAUAUACUUUAAAGAACAAGCGAAAGAAUUAGUACUAUGCAAAAAUAUGAUCCAAGUCGUUGGGUUUCUUCACUUGAAUUGAGCUUGACAUUGUAGUCUUAUACGCUAGUGUGUAAAUGUUCGAGAUAAUUUGUCUAACAUCUUAUAUUCGUUACAUUAAGAAAAGACUGAUGAUGAGGAUAUAAAAUAGAGGAUUAGAUUAGAUAUUUAGGUUGCAAACGGCGCAAGCAUGCCUUCAUACACAACAAUAUCUCAUACAAAAAAGGAUGUCAGAAUCUUGGUUUACAAGGUAUGAUCGUGCGCAAUAAUGUAAUCGAUCGUUUAUCUCUUAAAUUGACAAAGGAGCUACUAGCAUGUGUGGUCGGAUGAGUCACAUGAUAUCUUAAUUUAGGUUGGCUACGCUAGUUCAUUUGAUUCUAGGAUACGAAAUAAUGUUAGACCACUAUGCAUGUGAGCUUUCUUCGUCAACAAGAUUCAAUGAAUUUUGUACAUACGAUAAGGUGACUAGGUGAGAGAGAGAGAGAGCGAGAGAACAACUUUAUUUGAUCGAUAUGAUGAAUGGUGAUUGGUGAAUCUAGAUCAUAUUUGUAACAAACUUUUCAUACAUCAAUUACAUUACAUUUGUGUUGACAAAUUAUUUGUUGAGAAAUUUACCUAAACUAUAUCAGACAUAAUCAUAUUAAUGAAGACUCCAUAAAUGAAUAGAUCCGACUAAAAACUAAGUUGGUUGUCAAAUUAUAUGUAAAACUUUAUCCAUUUCUUAUUUUUAUCGAGGGAGGGGUUUUAAUGAGGAUCAUUUUGUUAAGGACUAAUUGAUGACUUUUCUCUUUAAUUGUUUAUUAUACCCACUUUUCAAUCACAUUUUUCUAUUUUAACCGUUUAGUUUUUUUGUCAAUAUAAAUCACUUUUUAUUAAAAUGAUUAUAUAUUUUAUUUUAUGUUGUAUAUAGAUCUAAUCAGACUUGGAUGGCACGGCACGGUAGAAGCAUUAGCACUCUUUGGAGGUAGUUUAUGUAUGUCAAAGCGGAUCAUUUUUCAAUCAUAUUUUUCUAUCUUAACCGUUUAGUUUUGUUGUCUAUAUAAAUCAUUUUUUAUCAAAAUGAUUAUAUCUUUUAUUUUAUGUUAUAUAUAAAUCUAAUCAGACUUAGAUGGCACGGCAGAAGCAUUAGCACUCUCUGGAGGUAGUUUAUGUAUGUCAAAGCGGAUCAUUACGGACAAUUUCGGAUACAUCCUAAAUAAUCUGUUGAGUUUCGUAUUGCAGACUUUAUUCGACCCGACCCGUAUACACUGAGCACCACUGCACAGUCGAGUCAGGACUCAUGACCAUGCGCUCGGCGGUUUGACCGUUGACCACCACCUUUAGGGGUGUUUGGCCAUGUGAUUUGAGUAAGAUGGUAGCUUCUGUUCUGCGCCUGAUUUCGAUUUGUAAAAGAGAAGAUUGAAUCUAAAUCUAAUCACAGGAAUAGAAUAAGCUUGCAUGUGAGGAGUGGGUCUCAGCCUAUUCAAAUAAAGCUUCGAUUUUUUCUUUUUCCAAAAUUAUUAGGGGUCACGAAAUCUUAACACCAUUAUGGGUAACAGUGUUCUCUUGUCACCAUCACAAAAAUCCUCUCUUGCUCUUGUUUGAUUUUCUUCCAACCUGGGUCUCUGUCACCAAUAACCUAAAAUUGAUCCAGAAAAAAAAAAUGAAAAAGAGAGUGCUGCACACAAAAAAUCAUUACUCAUUUUAUAAACUAAAAGAAUUACAACAAAUUACAUACAAAUAUUUGUGACAACCGAGAUUAUAAAACUAAAACAACGUAACAUGAGAGAAAAGAUUACGUACUGUUUAAUGAGACGUUUGCAUUGAGCAAGUGACCUAACUUCGAUAGUUUUUUUUAAUGUCUAAUUUACAACAUCCUUACAUAUAUAAUGAGAUUUGAACAAUAAGCUCAACCGCCUCUACGAUGUCAGUUAAUUUAGCUAACUGAUUUGCCCCGGCUCACGUCGAUUUCUAUCAUAUUUUAACAGUAAAAUUUGCCAUUCAUAAUUGGUAAAUGUAAGUACAUGGUUGAAUUUUACCGUAAUGUGUAGGGUAUAAGUUGUUAAGGUAACCCUACCGUGUAAGAGAGAGCCAGCUCAGAAGGGAUAGAGUGUACACGUGGGGUGAGAUGAGAGAAUGGAGGGAGAAAAUAAUUGCGAGUGAUUGAAGGAAGCUUGUGAUUUACUCAAACCCGUGAGGUAGCUGCCCUAAAUUAUAUACACCCACCUACAUUCGCCUUCUUCCUUUAAGCCCCCCAUCAUAAAAUCUACGAAGUAGCUACCUUGUGCUACUCUUGUACUAUACCAUAUUCUAUAUGUCUUUUUCUAUGUUUAAUUUACACCGUUUUAAAUGACUUGUUGGUUAUUUGAUCUAAUUACUAAUACUUUUGGUUCCAAAUAUUAUUGAUAUUGAGAAUCAACAGUGCAAAGGGUUGAAAGAGGCUUUAAAAUGGUCAUUUGAAGUCUCUUAUACGGAUAUAGAAACUACUUAUAAUAUAUGUCUGUUGCGUGCGUCUUUUAAUUAGAUAGUUUGAAACAUAAUUAAAAUCGAAAAGAUCUUGAUCAUAAAAAAUUAAAAAAUAUAAAAAAAAAUUGAAAUUUUCAUCCUACAAAUGUGAUCAAGAAGCAUUACAUUAGCUACGUCAAAAUGUUUUCCAGUUUAAAAUCUCAAGUUCUAUAUCUUAAACUAUAUCAUACAUAUGUCAAGCCAUUCAUUGUUGUGUUAAAUAGAACUCGUGACCUCAUACGUACAUUAGUUAGGGAAUUAACGAGUCAAUCAUAUCGACAUAAUCAAUCAUAAUACCAAAGGGAGAAUUCAUGUUCUGAGUACGUGGGUUAUGAGCACCUAAUGUCUUAGAACGAUGUAGACCAGAGAGGUCAAUUAGUUUGUGGGAGUUGGUUAACUACUUGCCAACCCCAAGUUGACCUAUUUCCCCAUCGAAUCCAACUCAAAACCCCAACGAUUCACUCGUCACUACCCCGAUCCAGACAAAACUGAGGUUGCUCAAAAACGACACCACUACGAGCAACCAAAACAUUCAACGAAGCACACUAAAAAAGUGAAGCAUAGAAUCGUAGAUUCCACACGAACGAAAUCCGACCGUUGAUGCGUUCCAGGUUUCGAACGACGAGAAACCUCAUAACAGACGUCUGAAAGUGACGCCACAGUCCGGCGUCUCCGACCACUCUUAAGGCGGGAAAAUCGAAAUCUUUGGCGGGAAAAUUGAUCCGGGUCGUACAUGUUUCUUUCGGUUUGCAUUUAUUACGAACACUCACUUUCGGAAAAGACAAUAAUACCCGAGUCUAGUCUGGUCUUAUCCUCUUGUCACGUUCGAGUUGACAGCCUUUGGGUCACAGUCACUGAGGGAGAAAAAGACAAUAAUGCCCCAACAGCGAGAAAUUUCGGUUUUUUUUUAUUUUUCUUUUUCAAAAGGGCUUCCCGCGCUUUUGAUCAAACGGUGGUGCUGUCACUUUAAUACGGCAGGUAAAAGCAUACAGCGAUUGGGCCCUAUCAUCUAUUUUUCUUUUUAUAAAAAAAUAUUUAUUUUUACGAAAUUAUUAAAAUUAAAAAGAAGAAAAUGAAAUAUGUAGCGGCGGGAAGUUUUAUCAAAUAGAGUUGAGAGAUGUGGGUUGGGUCCGUUUGGUGGCUUUAUUCCUUUGUCGUUUUUAAGCGCCGUGAUAACUGCGUUAUCUUGUUAACUGGGAGGCCGUGGCGGCAACGGAGACGGAGUCUGUGGGUUGUGUUACUGUGUGUUAUAGGCAGGAACAGGAGAGGUUGACGGUUAAGCUGCCGACUCGGUGGAGCCACCACGCCAACAGAUUUUCAGAUUGAGAAUCUAAAUCUGGGUUAUAGGGUGUGGCCCAAUUGCGGUGCUUCUGUCACUCAGCAAAUCACCGGUUUUCUGCUUUUAUGUUAUUAAUUUUCAAUUUUAAAAUUGAUUUCAGUAGUUUAACACUUUAACUUUAACUUAUGAAUUAGUAUAAAUAAUUUUACUUUAUAUGAUAGUCAACAAUUGGGUCCAUAGCUCAGUGGUAGAGCAUUUGACUGCAGAUCAAGAGGUCACCGGUUCGAACCCGGUUGGGCCCUAUUUAUUUUUGUUAUUUUAUUUUUUAUCUGUUAUAAAUUUGGUCAUUUGCAAAGUCUCUUUCUUUUAUCAAUGGUUCUAGACUUCUACCUCUAUUAUUAGAUAUUACUACACAAACAAUCAUUAUUAUGUGUGUGACAAGGGUAAUUGGAGCAGUUUUACUCUAAUGUGGGUGCUCAAUCAUUUUAAUCAAUGGAAAAGACAAAUUGUUUAUGGUUGAACAUAGAUGAGCAUUAGAUCACGCACUACCAGAAGAAAGGCUUUAGUCGACGAAAAUAAAAAAACCAGGCCGACGAAUUUUUUUUUCGUCGGCUAAAGUCCACUUUAGCCGACGAAAGUAAUAUUUCAUCGGCUGAAUAAUUUUUUUCGUCGGCUAUAGUCUGUGAACUUUAGCCGACGAAAUUUUUAAAAGUUUAGCCGACGAAAUUUUUUAAAGUUUAACCGACGAAAAAAAUUCGUCGGCUAAAGUGACUUUAGCCGACGAAAAAAAUUCGUCGGCUAAAGUGGACUUUAGCCGACGAAAUUUUUAAACUUUAGCCGACGAAAAAAUAUAAUUUCGUCGGCUAAAGUGCCUUAUAUUUGCAGAUCUAGACAACAACUCAUCUGAGAAAAAAAAACUAUACGUAGAACCUUCAAACGCAAAAAAGUCGUGAAAUAAGAUAUGACCAGAACGGUGAAAUAUGACUACGGUUGAAAAAUCACAGUAUUCCGGUAAAGUCUCGGUGCCGAUAGUUGACUUACCCUUACUAUUCACUAUGCUGCAGAUUUGGCGUUUGGUGUCUGAUUGACUAUUGUGAUACCUUUCCGGAAGCGUAACGGCGCUACGAGUUAGACUCAUUGCUAGUGCUAUGAUGUAUAGGCUUUUUUGGCCAUCCGAGUCCGUUUAGGGCUUGAAAAUGCAGUUUUCUUAUUUUCGAUUAGAGUUGACAGUUUCGAUCGAGCCCUUAACGUUGUCGAAUCCAGUUGAAUUUUUUACCAUAGACAUCUUUCGUCAUAAUGAUCAUAUCUGACGGUCGAAUUUUGGUUUGUGAAUUUUAGUCAUCGGAAUCACAAAGUGUCUACUAUUUACCGUUAUUCGGGUUUAUGGGGAGCCCUAUCGUCGGAAGGUAAAUGUCUCAAAAUUUUUAUAUGGGCAGUUUCCUCUCAUUUACGUGAGAGUUUUUUGUGUGGAAGGUUUGACCAAACUACGUAAUAUAGAGGGAGAUAUGAGCGUUUUCGUGUGAUAAGUGACGAUGGAUUAUGGUUUACCGUUUCGAUCGAGCCCUUAACGUUGUCGGAUCCAGUUGAAUUUUUUACCAUAGACAUAUUUCGUCAUAAUGAUCAUAUCUGACGGUCGAAUUUUGGUUUGUGAAUUUUUAGUCAUCGGAAUCACAACGUGUCUACUAAUGUUGUAUAACUUGUUUAGUAGGUUAUACAACUUUGUGACCAACUCUACAUAGGAAGCAAAAUUAUGAAAAAUCUCGUGAAAUAAGAUGUGUUCAAAAUGGUGAAAUACGGCUAUGGUUCAAAAAUCACGUAAAUACGGGUAAAAGUCUCGGAGCCGAUAGUAGCGGUCAACCCUAUUUACCGUUAUUAUUCCUUAUGGAGAGCCCUAUCGUCGGAAGGUAAACUGUACUCAAAAAUUUUUUAUAUGGGCAGUUGCGUCUCAAUCUACGUGAGAGUUUUUGGUGUGGAAGGUUUGACCAAAUUACGUAAUAUAGGGGGAGAUAUGAGCGUUUUCGUGAAUUUAUAGACUUUAGCCGACGAAAAUAUAUGAAAAGUCGUCGGCUAAGGUCAAAAAAUUUCAAAAUUUUUUAGGCGGUAAACCAAAGUUGGAGGAAAAUUUCAAAGGACUUUAGCCGACGAAAAUAUAUGNNNNNNNNNNNNNNNNNNNNNNNNNNNNNNNNNNNNNNNNNNNNNNNNNNNNNNNNNNNNNNNNNNNNNNNNNNNNNNNNNNNNNNNNNNNNNNNNNNNNNNNNNNNNNNNNNNNNNNNNNNNNNNNNNNNNNNNNNNNNNNNNNNNNNNNNNNNNNNNNNNNNNNNNNNNNNNNNNNNNNNNNNNNNNNNNNNNNNNNNNNNNNNNNNNNNNNNNNNNNNNNNNNNNNNNNNNNNNNNNNNNNNNNNNNNNNNNNNNNNNNNNNNNNNNNNNNNNNNNNNNNNNNNNNNNNNNNNNNNNNNNNNNNNNNNNNNNNNNNNNNNNNNNNNNNNNNNNNNNNNNNNNNNNNNNNNNNNNNNNNNNNNNNNNNNNNNNNNNNNNNNNNNNNNNNNNNNNNNNNNNNNNNNNNNNNNNNNNNNNNNNNNNNNNNNNNNNNNNNNNNNNNNNNNNNNNNNNNNNNNNNNNNNNNNNNNNNNNNNNNNNNNNNNNNNNNNNNNNNNNNNNNNNNNNNNNNNNNNNNNNNNNNNNNNNNNNNNNNNNNNNNNNNNNNNNNNNNNNNNNNNNNNNNNNNNNNNNNNNNNNNNNNNNNNNNNNNNNNNNNNNNNNNNNNNNNNNNNNNNNNNNNNNNNNNNNNNNNNNNNNNNNNNNNNNNNNNNNNNNNNNNNNNNNNNNNNNNNNNNNNUAACCGACGAAAUAUUUUAUAUUUCGUCGGCUAUAGUUAUUUUUUUAAAUUUUUUAUAAGGUUUAGCCGACGAAAUAUAGUAAAUUUCGUCGGCUAUAGUUAUUUUUUAAUUAUUUAUUACACACUUUAGCCGACGAAUAUAUUAAUUGUUUCGUCGGCUAAAGUCUGGAAAAAAAACCGACGACAUGUUUUUCGUCGGCUAACUGUGGGACUAUAGCCGACGAAAAAAAAAAUUUCGUCGGCUAAAGUCAUCACAGACGAGCUUUUCCCGACGACACUAUAGCCGACGAGCCUUCGUCGGCUAAGAUCUUAGCCGACGAAUUAAGAUAACAGGCCGACGAAAAUUUUUCGUCGGCUAAAGUGCUUGUCCUGGUAGUGACGAUAACCAUCUUGUAGUGUAAUAGCUAACGUAGUUAUCUAUUUUUAUUUUAUUUUUUUCAAUGUAAAGGUUGUAUCAUUAUUUUAUCAUGUUAUACGAGUUCUAAUGACUGAAUUUAAAUGGUUUAUUACGUGUAUUUUCAAGCAGGAAUGUUGUGAACAUCUUCAAGAAUUGAGAGGGAAUCUUGGGCUUUUUAGGUCUCAUCGAUGAUCUCAUUUGUAUACAUAUUAAUGUUGUAGACUUGUAGCAGUGCUUUAGAAAGGAGGAGAGCACAUCCCAUUACCUAUUGCUUAUAGUGUAGGCUAUGUAUUUGACUGUGGCCAUUUAAGUGACUAGUAAGACCAAGCGAUUGACAUCAAUGGACCUCGUCCAUGGAUCUGCAAUCAACACAAGGGAGGAAAAUUUGUUGGUUUGACUUAUUAGUCUCAAGUUUUGUAAUGGUACAUUGCAAUAAAAACACAGUACUUUUCAUUUUAUUUAGUACAUGAAUUAGUUUAGUGUCAAUUGUGCUCUAUUACGUUUUCUACCCUGAUUGACCAAAUUGAUCGAGAAGAUGAUGAAGGAGACAAUGGUUGCCUAUGCAAUUGCGGGUGAGUUAGGCUAUUUCAUGCCUUAUUCAUGGUGGGGAUGCAAUCCAUGACCUAAUUUUCUACUUGUGUGGUCGCCUUUUGACCAAGAAGGUGGUGACAAUUUUACCGUUCGCGGGGGCGAUCUCCAGAGUUUUGGGGUUUGAAAUAGCAAGUCUUGAUUCGACAAGAGGAUGAGAUGUUUGUUUUCCAAUUUAAGAAUCGGAGGAGAAGCAUCAGGUUAUUCAGUAACUUGAAGUUGUUGUUGGUUGACUAUGUUGGAAUCAGUGCUCCGAGGUGGCGACAUUGAAUUUUCUAAUGUUGUGCCUGGCGGUAAAGGGAUUACAUAUUGCUAUGAGUAAUGAGAACGCUCUCACCUGCUUCAGCAAAGCACUAUGGACUUUUGUUCGAGUUGAUCAAGAGGAUUUGGUGAGGAAGGAACCAGUUAACCAACAAUGUCCCUCAUACGAUUUGGAAGUGACGUAUGUUUGCCUUUUCUCCAUAGGUGUCAAUGAUGUUGGAUUUGCGGUACGAAGUGCCAUUGAAUUUGUGCAACUUGUGGUUUCUACGGUGGGAUGUGCGGCAAAGCCCUAAAGGCGGUGUUGCGGUUAUUCCAGCAUUACCCUUGAAGAUUCUUUGAGGUUGGAGGAGCCUAUCAUAGCUUUGAAGAGAGAAGGUAGGCCUUUGGGAAGCAAGAAUAAGGCCUCGAAAGAAGAAGGGUGAUCCUAUGCAUAUAACUUCUUUGGCGCGCCCUAGCCGAGCGGUCCUCGCAGUGAGAUGGCUAGGUCUAAUGCCAAGAGCAAGGGUAAGACGUAGGUAUCAAGUUACUUUACUUGAGCGUUACAUUGAAAUUAGUUACUUGAUUUUUGUUUACUAGGUGUACACAAAUUGAGGUCUUAGUUUACAUUUUUCCAAGGAAGUAGAUAGCGAGAGUUUUAUUUCUUUUGCUGCAUGCUCAUUGAUAAGCGUAUUUUUAAACAAUAAAGAUAGUGGUGACGAUGCUGGUGAGUAUUUGCUCGAGAAACUUUAUAGAGCCCAACUUAUAAUGUAAAGUUCUUUUUGGCGAUUGUUUAAACAAUACAAAAUUACAAAUAUCACUUGCUAAAAAAAAUAUUGGAAAGAAUUAACUUUGAAAUCAUCCACUAAAUACUAACACAAUGUUUACAGCCAAGCAAGCAAACCGUAAAAGAUGUAUAGCUAAUGAAAAUAACAUAAGAAAAUAAUGGAAAAUUUCGGAUAAAUCAGUUGUCAUGUUAGAUCUCACUCCUUCCUUAGAUUUCUCUUGUUGUCUCAGAAUGGCUGCUUUACAAGGGUGGUUAGCAGCAAUGAUCACAUAACAUAUUAAAAAAAAUUGUAAGUGCAAUAAUCAAUAAACAUUCAAUUAAUGGAAUCAAGCAAGGAUGAUGAUUCCAACUCUUAGCCUAAUAGUGUUCUUCCUUUUGUCUUCUAUUUUGUAUUUCUUCCUGUCAUUGCAUAUAUUUAUGAAACCCCAUUUGAAACAGGGCACAAAUCCAAAACAAAGUUCAGUGACCAAAAUUUAAAAUGGAGGAAAAACUAUUCAUUCUACAAGUGACCAAACAACAAUCAGUAACAGUGACUGAAAGUAGGCAAAGUGACAAAAGAUACGAGAAGCAACAAGACAAAGCCAUAUUUGAAAAACCAGUCGCUUGAUUACAAAGAAUAAGAAUCUGAAAAAACCAGUAGAAGAAGAAGAGAAAAGAAAAUGAAAGAAAAUGAAACCCACCAUCCCAAAUCUAAGCAGUAAAAUACACCCACUAAUCUCUCCUCAAAAAAAGCUUGGAAACCCAACACUAAUGGAGUAAUGGUAUUAAACAAAAGGCAGGUGGGUUUGGAUAGAGGGACAAAUGUCUCCAACCACUGGGCCAUUCCUCCCUCCAGUUGUUUGCACAGUCUCAUACUCUCCCCUCUUCUUCCUUUCAAAAAUUUUCUAUUUCUUUUGUUUUUUUUUUUGUAAGAAAAAUUUUCUAUUUCUUUUUGCAUAUAAAUUUUGAAGCUUUGUCUCAGAUAGACCCUGAAACCUUAAUAAAGGCAGCUUGUCUUCCACAAAGUCCCUCCUCAAGUCUCUCUCUCUUUUUCUCUCUGUUUUGUUGGGUCCUGGUCCCUCCAGCCUGCAAAUCCAGCAAACCCCAAACUCCCUCCUCUUCAUUAUUAUAUCUUCCUUAACCAGCAAACACCUCACACCCUCUUCCAUAUAUACUCAAGCUUAGUUCUCUCUAAGGUCCAAGCUUAGUUCUAUGGCCAAGUCACCGGAGGAUCCCAGUUUCUGGCUCCCUUCCGAUUUCCUUACAAACGUCGACGACGUUCACAUCAUGAACCGCAUCUUCCCCACCGAGUUUCCAUACGAGUUCGACUCGUCGUCCGGUCCCAACUCGGCCCUGAGCUCCCCGGUGGAGGGCUCCACCGAGACGGAGAGCAGCAGCGACGAGGAUGACUUCCUCGCCGGGUUAACUCGCCGCCUGGCUCAGUCCUCUCUCAGCCAGACUCAGAAGCUUUCCGUCCCCAACUUCACUCAAGAAAAGCAGCCUGAGGUAAAAGCUUUAAUACACAAAGCCUUGUUCUUGCUACUUCAUUUUUCCGGUGAUAUAUGGAUUUCUUAGUUUCUGUGUGUUGUGUUGACUCAGUGGGUCAUGUCCGGGUCACCUCAGUCGACUCUGAGCGGAAUCGGGAGCUGGUCGAGCAACGGCAGCCCGGCGGCGCCUUCUUCUCAGGUGCCGUCUCCUCCAACGACGCCGUUUGGAGGUCAGAACGACACCUGGGACCUGAUUUACGCCGCCGCCGGACAAGUGGCCAGGUUGAAGAUGAACAGUGUCGACGGAGCAGCCAAGUUUGGUAACAACAACGGCAGAGGGCUUCUGGGCCCACCUAGAACCCCAAGUCCGUCUCUUCCUUGUGUCCAAAACCAAAGCCCCUUCACUCAGGUAAGAACAGAGUUUAGUUUCAAAGAUUCCAUCUUUGAAGUAAAAGCAUGGACUUUUAGUUCAGUUUCUGAUCCAGUUUGGGGUUUUGGAUUUGCAGUUUCAGCAAAUGAGACAAGACCAAGUACUAAACUCACAGUGCUCUGCUCCUUGGGGAAAAUCUAUGAAGCUUAAUAACUGGUCAGCUCAGCAACAACAGCAGCAACAGAUCCAAAGCAGAGGAAGAAACAUUGUUGGUUACGAAAGUGGAAGAUGUCAAAGUGCAUGGCCUCCUCUUCAAGCUCAGCAACAACAUCCACAUCGUAAUACCCGACCCGUUUUGCCUAACGGGUCUAACGUGAAAAGGGAGUCUACCGGCACCGGUGUCUUCUUGCCUCGCCGGUACUCCAACCCCAGUCCCACUCCUGAGCCUCCUCGCAAAAGAGCAGGUAGUUAAUAUUAGUGAGUUGGUUAUUUGGGGUUAUUUUUUGUACCAUUUUGGGGUUAAUUUUGUUUGACAUUUUUGAAAUUUUUGGUGAAUAGGUUGUCCAACUGUUUUGCUCCCAGCCAAGGUGGUUCAAGCUCUGAACUUGAGCUUUGAGGACAUGAAUGUUCAUCAUCAUCAGCAACACCAUCUUCAGCCGCGAUUCAACAAUACUGCUUUGGCUCCAAACCAUGGUAAUGCAUAGCUUUCCAUUUAAGGAACUGUUUUUGUUGCAGUAGAUCUUUAAUCUUUUGGAGUAUUUUGGUAAAGUUUUUAUUGGUUUCUAAAUUAGGAUGUGUUGGAUUUUGCAGAGGCUCUGGUGGCAAGAAGAAACGCCCUAUUGACUCAGCAGAGAAGGGGUUUAAGGCAAGACGGGCCAUUAAACUAUGAAGUGCGCUUGCCUCAGGAAUGGACCUACUGAUCCCAACUGAUCAGCUAUUCUGGUUAAUAGUCUCAUUCCAUUCCAAAGGGGUUUUGUGACUUUGGUUUGUUGGGCAAAAGCAAAAGCUGGAAAGCAAGACAGCAAGUGUUAUAAAAAGCAGUAGUAGUAGUAGCAGCAGCAGCAGAGUUUGUGAUAUUUGGGUUUUAUUAAUUUAUUUAUUAUAGUUAAGGAGAUUCAAGAAUGUUUGAGCUUAGUUUAGGAUCAAUAAAGAUGAUGAUAUCCAGGUUUUUUUAAUGGCGGAUGUUUGCAGCAGCUUCUGUGGGGGGCUCUCUCUAUAGCUUUUAGAUCAAGGAAGAAGAAGAAGAAUGUGUUGUAAUAAAGGGGCUAGGUUUUUUUCGAGGGUAAUCAAAUUUCUUGUUGUGUAAGUGAAAUUUCACAACCCUCUUGUAAGAUUAUUCUACUAAUAAGUAAUAAGAAAUGUUUUAGUACUCUCCAUGUGUCAGUUCUCCAGAACACACUGAAUUUCUCUUCUUGUUCUUUAACUUAAUCCGGUCAAAGCUAUAUUUGUUAUUUUGAACUGCUUCCAAAAAAAGCAGGUUACACCAAGCAAGAACAUGGUUGAGGGUCCCUAUGGAAAAGCUGGUAUUCUGUUGAAGAGCUGUUUACAGUUGUAGCACAUUAUUUAAGCACUAGAAACUUGAAGCCACUGUGUUGAAAUUUGGGAUGCACAAAUCUGUGGAAAAAUUAUUGAAUGAAUAAUGGGAAAUGGGAGAUUGGUGCCUGCCAUUUCUGCUAUAAUAUCUCAAAUUUCAAACACUGAAAAGUCUAAAUAAACGGCACAGUGGUAGUAGUAGCUUUUGCUUCAGUCUCAAAUUUAAGCACUAGAAGCUUAAGUGUUGGUAGUGGAGACUGAGACAUAUAGAUAUGGGGCUUUCCUAUCCUUUCAUAUUUGAAAUUUUGAUGUACGUUUGUAUCCAGAUAUUUGAUUUUGAUUGAUUCACCGUAGCUGUCUCUUUCUUCAAACUAGAUCUAACCAAGAAACCAAACUAGACCCAAAUGGAGAAAAACAAACCCUAGCAAUUUCGAAAAUCAAACUAUACUGAAAAGCAAUAAAGAAGGUCAAGAACCCUAAACAUGUUUGUGUCAAGUUCUAAACUUUGUUUACCAAAAUUAGAACAGAAUGCAAUGACUUUAGUAAAAGGGUGAAAGAAAAGCAUAACCAAACCUUGGAUGGAAGAACAGAACUGUAAAGCCUACUGGCCCUUGAGUUGGUUAAACUAAAAUUAGUAGAAUAUAGUGUAAGUGGAACCAGUGUUAAACUAGUUGCUAAACAUGCUCAUGUCUGCACAGUUGGAGCUGGACACAGCCUGCCUUCUAAAAUCAUAAAGAAACCAUGCUUGUUUUACAAGAUCCAAGGCACUUUUUUCUUCUGAAAAUGGUUGAUUAUUACAGUGAAAGGGUUGAUCUGUUUUUGCUUUAGCUUGAUCAACUAUGAUUAAUCAAUAGGAAAAAGGGAAAAACAAUUUGUACCAUAUCUUGCUUUAAUUUUGGGAAUUUAGGAUUUCCUUAGUGAAAAAAAAUCUGUAAAUUACAAGAGCAAUGUGAAGGUGGAUGUGGAGUCAUCAUACCACCAAAUAUAUUAAGCUUGAUGGAAGACUAAUACUCGCAAAAUCAUACUAAAAUAUAAAAAAAGAUCAAGAAGACACAUACAAAGAUGAAUUAGUUGAAAUUAAAUAACAUAUUUUAUUGAUUUAGAAUUUUUUCAAGAAUUUUUUUUCGUGGUAAGACGUAGCUAUGUGAUCAACCUAUAAGUUAUAGAUUUGUAAUCUUUGAAUAUGUAACAUAUGGUUAGUCAGAAUCUUAAGUCUUAAGUCUAGUGAAACCAUUUAGAAACUAAAUGGACUCCUUUCACUUACCAGGAAUACCAUUAUUGAAGUAAUAUUUGACCAUGCUAUGUUCUUAAACACCAAUUAUACAAGUCAAGAAGAGACUCAUUUGUCCUGAUUUCUGGUUAACUAAACAUCUAAACAAACACCAGGUUGACAACUCAAUACCUCCUCAUACAUAAACUAAAGCCCUAGCUUAUGUAGUGGAGGUCAUAAAUCAGGUAGUUCACAGUUUGGUUUUAUUCCUUUUCCUGGAAAAGCCUUACUUCACUCUCUGGUAAGUGCAUAUGAUUUUGGCCAACAACAAACCAAACCAAUCAAACCUAGCAAGACGGGAUGUCAUUUUAAGCGGUUUUUGUCGCUGAUAUUUUAAAUGAUCUAAGAUAUUUCAAUAAUUUAUCGCGGACAGCCCAGAUCUAAGAUUUUUAAGCCUGAGUCGAACUUUCUAAGUUGGGCCCUUAAAUUAGUGUAUGUUCUAGUUUUUUUUUUUUUUUUUUUUUUUUUAUGUGUAAGGAUUUCAUGAACUAAACACUCAAAAUCUAAAGACGAACAACAUAUACUAUCUGAAAAUAUAUAUAAUAUAAUCAAAUUAUAAACUGAAAAUUUAUAAGACUAACACAAAUCUGAUUAUAGAAAUAGGAUUAUCAAAACCCUGUUGUUUUAGAAAUCAUAUUGCUAAUUAGAAGGUAUUUACAUAAUGUUCUCCUUUCCUUUUGGAUCUAAAAGGAGUGAAUACAUUUUAAUAAUCUAUAUAUAAUUGUGUUUAACUUGUCUAGGCUCCUUAACUCUUUAAGAUGUCAGUGCUUUCCAUUUCAUCGAUAAGAAUAAGCUCUUCAUAAAUCAUAAGCCAAUAAAAUGUUCUUGUUUACUGGCCCUCUUGGACACUGGGCCCUGAGUCAACAGUCUCUUCUGUCUCAUAUCAGGUCCGGGUCUGAUCGCGGAUCAUGAAAGAUGAGAUAUUUCAAUGAUUUUAUCGAGCCGAUCAUGGAAGUGGGAUUUUUGGAGGGGCUGGAAGCACAUGGAUACCCUCUGGGAAAAAUUGAAACAAAUAAAAGUAAGCUCUUUGACAGAAGGUUCUAAUUUCCAAACCAGGAAAACAAAACAAAAGAGAAAAAAAGAAGAAGAGGAAGGCUGUUUGAUCUGUGGCCCAUAUCUAGCCGUCAAUCACGUUUGUGUUGGGUCCAACAUGGGCCGGAUCAGCUCCGGGAUCUCUUUUAUGCUUUAUCAUUAACGACAUGCCUAAUGACAUUCAUUCGCUUUGCUUCAACCAUACGCAUGCUUUAUCCUCAAUCAUUAGCAUGCAUGAUAUGGAAAAUCUUCUUACUUCUCCCUAUCCUUUCAAUCAUAUAUUUCUAUCAUCCACCACUGAUCUCUCUUAUAAGAUCAACAUUCUAAAUUACGAUGUUUUUAUAUGGACCCGACCUCAUCACUGCUCGUAUAAGCCGUGUGUGUAGUAAAAUUUUUAUUUAAAAGAAAACCGGUGUAUGGUGUACGUCUGCACAUUAUAAUGACAAACUAUGGCAUGGAUUGAACUCUCGCACAUACUAUUUCUAUAUGCGUAAUGAUUUGUUUUAUAUCUUUAGAAGUUUUUGAUUGGCCUCAAGUUUGUAGUGGAUCAUUAUUUGAAACAAUGUAAUGAAAGUAUAAUGAAUUAUUAGUAAUGAGCAUGCCAUUGUGAUAAUUGCUUUAUAUUCAUUCAUUUUGAAUUUUUGAUCAACAUAAUUAGAUAGAGCUAAUUUACCUAUAUACUAUUGGUUGGUGGACAGUGUGUUUUUGUGUGCUGACUAUUUUACCCUUGCUAUUUUUAGAAAACUAUAAUAUUGUCAUUAACCCUAUAUAUAUAUAUAUAUAUAUAUAUAUAUAUAUAUACACACACAACCCUUCUCGGCUGCGGACGUCCGUACCAAUUUUUUGGUGCGGAUUUCCAUUUUUGCACCAUUUUCCGAUCGAAUUUCCUCAUCUCCACCGUUUAGUAUCUAGAUAAUAUUGUGUAGAUCCUCUCUGCAAAAUUUCAGCCAAUUUGGUGAUCGUUAAGACCCUGAAACUCGAGUUUUUCUGGUAUGAACACAACCAGACAGAAUUCAGUCCGUCAAUUUGUUUUUCGAGUUUGAGGGCCUUAACUAUCACCAAAUUGGCUGAAAAUUUGCAGAGAUGAUCUACACAAUAUUAUCUAGAUACUAGACGGUGGAGAUGAGGAAAUUCGAUCGAAAAAUGGUGCAAAAAUGGAAAUCCGCACCAAAAAAUUGGUACGGACGUCCGCAGCUGAGAAAAUCCGUAUAUAUAUAUGUGUGUGUGUGUGUGUGUGUGUAUGUGUGUGUAUAAUCAAUACGAUUUUCGUUGGUAUCGUGAAGGAUCGAGAACGAUCUGGGCACCGAUGUUGGCACCGACCUUCUUCUAUUUAUCAAUCCAUUCUCUCCCUGUGUUCAUAAGCAUUGUGAACAGUGCACAAACCUUUUUACCCUGCUAAUGGGUUGUGUAACUCCGUAUUUACCUUUCGUUUCAACUCUAGGUAUAAAAAUAUAUUUUUUUUCACAGCUUCUCGUUCUCUCUCUCGCCCAACUUUUCUCCAUCUCUCUCACACUCUCUAGACUCUUCUCGAAAUAGCUCCAACAUUUCUCACAAAGCAAAAGUGUGUAGAGAUAUUAAUAUAUUACCGCGAUAAUUUAUUACCCCGCUGUUUUACGGAACUAUUUCUGUCAUUUUCUCUUCUGCUUUGUAUACGUACAAAUCAAAACAAUUAGAGCAUUUAUAUUUUUGGUAGAACACAAGACUAUAUGUUUUGUUGUAUAAAUGUUAUUUUUGUGAUAGCUCUUAUAAAGCAAGUAUCAACUGUAGUUGUACAACAAGUUUUAUCUUACAAAAAUGAUGGAUGAUGGGCUUAUUGGCAGACCCUUGAUUAUUGAGAUGGGCUUACUAUUUUGUUUAUUAAUGGAUCACAUUGGCCUACUGGUAGUAGCUCACAAGAUUGCUGAAAGCCUGAAACUGCCAUUUUUGGACUUGGAGGAAACAGAACCACCAUGGCUAAAGCCUGCUCUUGCUCUAGUUGAAAGUAUUUUAUGCAGAUUGGGCUGUGGUUCUCUAUUUUGGUAUUUUACCGGAGCAUGGUAUAUUUCUUGCUCGGUUUUUCACAUAACAAGGUUUUAACGAGGCCACCAUAACCAGUGCCUUCACUGCCUUGUAUGAUGCUUAGUCAUUAGUGAAACUCUGUCAUUUGAUAUAGAAUAAGUUAUGGGAAGAAUAUGAACUCCCUUGGUUGUCACUAAUACAAAAGGAUUGACCGACUGCAAACCCAGAUUUAAGUAAUCUGUUACAACUUCCAAUCUCUCAAUUGUGGAAUGUGAUCAUGUGGCGAAAAUCAAUAACAUAUCCUUUAGAAUAUUGAACCCCUUAUUGUCAACAUCUGAGCUCAUCUCAGUUAUAUAAUGUUAAAUCGAUCUGAGAUAUUUUACAGGAAAAGACCCGGAACAGAAACACCUCCAAGAUUUAUUGUCAACAUCUGAGCUCAUUGUUAAAUCGAUGUGAGAUAUUUUGCAGGAAAAGACUCGGAACAGAAAAACCUCCAAGAUUUAUUUUCACAACGAAUCUACUCUUUAUUAGUGAACCGAUGGCUACCAAACAAAAAUAAGUAGCACUCAGUGUUCAAGAUCACACAAGAAUCACAAAUAAUGGGAAGUUAGAAAGCUCCAUUAUCCCCCAGAACAGCAUCUGUAUAAGGCACAGAAGCAUAAUGCAUCACAACUCUACAAGCGAAAACGAUAACAAUAUGGCUCCGACAGAGCUCUGGCCAAGGAGCACCACAAAUUUAAAAGUUGAAAGGGGGAUGUGAUAUUUUCGAAUAAUGCAAAAGCGAAAGAUUCUGAAAUUAACAGCCAACAUCAUCUACAGACCAGCAUAAUGUACUUCAUAGUUUUUUUUAUUUAUCUAAGGUCUAUAGAGUUCUAGAUCAGCGAUUCCAGUUGAGCAGCUGGUCAGGAUCGUGCUCUUUACUUCCACUUCUUGAACUUGCCUCCACCGUGCUUCCCGUACUUGCCGUGCUUGCCUCCAUGCUUCCCGAAUUUACCAUGCUUAACCUUGCCGUGACCCCCGUACCCUGGCAUGCCGUGACCCCCGUACCCUGGCAUGCCGUGAGAUGGAUUGUAGCCGCCGUGCGAAACUUGGUGAGAGCCUUGACCGUGAUGGCCUGUCAAUUGGUGAGCACCGUAUGCGGCUGCAGCAGCAGCUGCACCCCCAGCUAGAAUUCCCCCCAUUCCAUGGCUGCCUCCUGAACAAACAAAACACAAGCACUCAAUAUUAAUUUCAUAGUUAUAAUGCAAACGAUAAUGUCAAAUGUCUUCACAUUAUCAAGAUGAGCACUGACAACUUGAGUUGAAGCAAAACUAGACCAAAACAUCUAUAGAAGCCAAACUCCGCCUAAAGAAUAAUAACAUGAGACAACAAUGAUGACUCGUAUGAUCAGAGCAAAAUUCAUACUUGAUCAAUUUAGACAUUAACAGCAGAACACUUCUUUGAGAUGAUGGAUCAAUGUCUUAGAACACAUAUGUACAUUAACAUCAUGAAAAUCAAGCUAGUUUAGAUACCAGAUUUUCUUGUGCAAAUUUAUAUAUAUCACAAACUGAUCAUCUUUGUUCUGAUGUUCCAAUUAAAACUCUUAGUCACACCCUAAUUCUAAAGAUGAUCCUUUGCAUCUAUAUCCAAUUGUGACAAAGUCUCUCAAACAAUAAUUGAGCAACUCAAAACUUCAUAAUAUCCCUAAAUUUUUUCAAAUCUCAAAUUACCAAUUCACACAACACACAUAGAACAUGACAAAAGCCAACAUCUUUACACAUGUUAAUCAACUCCAACAACACAAACAAACUCAACAUCAAACAAAGACAAGAAAUUCACCUCCAGAAUGACCGCCGUGAGCGGCGGGCGGGUACCCUUGAGGAGGAUAUCCACCCUGCUGCGGCGGAUACCCAGAUGGCGGGUACCCUUGUGGAGGAUAUCCACCCUGCUGCGGUGGAUACCCCUGUUGAGGAGGGUACCCAUGUUGCGGUGGAUACCCCUGUUGAGGGUAUCCAUGUUGUUGAGAAUAGCCAUGUUGUCCUCCGGCAACGCCGUGAAGAAGACUACCGAAAAGACCCUUGUCAGUUUCUUCACCACUUCCACCACCUUGAUGCUGAUCUUUUCCACCACCCAUGUUUGUUGUCGAUCAGAACUUCCAAAACUUAAGAGAGCAAAAUAGAGAGAAUUGUUGAGAGUAAUGUAAUGUGUAAUGUGAUUGGAGAUAUGUUGGGGUUUAUAUAGUUUUUUAUGGUGUGGGAAAAUAUCGUUGACGAGAUUGAAAUGACGCGCUUCUGUGUGCCUUACCCGUUAAGAAUCUAUCGAAUCCGAAUCGGAUGAAACAUCAAACACGGUAGAAACGCGGGUCGGAUUAUUUGAUUUGAUUUGGGUUUCUGUAUUUUAUUGGACGCGGUCGAUUUUAUUUCCUUCUUUCUUUAGCGAUUUGUAUUAGUCGGACACAUUCAUCUUAAACUCUUCAAAGAAGGGAAGAAAUCAUCAUAGUUGAUGGCUUUUAUGAGUUAGGCAGGAUGGCUUUGGUAUUCAUUUCGAUGAUUCAGUCUAAUAAUUUGAUUAUAAUGUACUAUUACAAUUGGUUUUAGUUAAGACGUUAUUCUUUCUUUCUUAUGUAACGAAAUUAUAAUCGGUUCUUAAUUUUUCUAUUGACUUAAAAAUGACUCGUUUGCAUUAAUCACUUAAUUCUUAUCCGAAAGUUAUCAUUGUUUUAUGAAAGUUGUCGAUAAUAACGGGUUCAGAAAAUGUAAAGUAAGAUAUUAAUCUUGUGUUUUAAUGAAAAAUUGGUUGAAGUUCAUCUAGGUGGGUUGUCUCCACUAGUGAUAGUGAUCGGAUGAUCGGACAAAUGAAAAGACAGAUUUUUAAUCAACAGGUGGUGAUAGUGAUCGGAUGUCGUCGGCAUAGUUUUGGAGGGGUCGCAACUUUUACAACGGGCUUUUAUCCACUAAUGACACCCUUCUUCCUUAGUCCUUGUAUGUGUACGUAGUUGAGAGUUGGGGAAUGAGUGGGAAUCUACUACCUCAGCAUGCCAUUUUCUGUUACGUUAAUUCAAACGAUUCAACCUGUAACUCAGCCACUUAGGUUAUUUCUGGUUGAAACAAUUACAUUUGUAAAAGAACUGAACCAGGAAUUUUAUUAGCUUCAGAUUAACUACAUUAUGCAUUCAAAAUCCAUACGACCAAAACCCAACACAAAGUAAGCAUUACAUCGAUCGUAUAGAAGCAAAUUCCAUUACAUGACCUCUUAGAAACAUCCCUUUAUUCCACAACCAUUACCCCGAUUCUGAAAAGGCCAUGCACUCAUCUUGGUCCUCUAGUCAGAAAUCUGAAUAGCCUUCACAUCAGGCUUCUUCACCUCUUGUUUUGGCACAGUGACAGUAAGCACCCCGUUCUUCAUCGCCGCCUUCACCUCCCCCACCUUCGCAUUCUCCGGCAGCCUGAACCUCCUCAAGAACUUGCCGCUGCUCCUCUCCACCCUAUGCCACUUGUCACUCUUGUCCUCCUUCUCCACUUUCCUCUCGCCGCUGAUCUGCAGCACCUUCCCUUCCUCUACCUCCACCUUCACCUCCUCCUUCUUCAGCCCCGGCAGGUCCGCCUUGAACACGUGCGCCUCCGGCGUCUCCUUCCAGUCGAUGCGCGUGUUCGCCACUGCCGCCGUUUCGGAGCGUGGAGCCGAGCGAGAGGUGGUCAAGGGGAAGUCCUGAAACGGGUCCCAGAUGUCGAGCGAGAACGGGUCGAAGAUGUUGCUCCGUCGAUCGUUGCCGAAAAAGCUUCCCGGAAUAAGAGACAUUUUGAAUAUUAUGAGUUUAAGUUUGUACGUAAGUUUGUGACUUGUGAUUGCUUUGGAAAAUUUGAUUCUGGUUUUGGAGGUGAGGAGAGGAGGUAUAUAUAGGAAGAAGAUGUGGGCAGUUUAGUAAUGAGGUAAGGAUUCUUCGUCUCUCUUCUUGAAGCGUCUGGUAUUGUCUGGCCAAUGCAAGGAGGUUCCAGAGUCGACAGAGAUGGUUCUCGAAAAGUCGAGCGCACUACUGAUGCAGGCAGCCCAAAAGAAAAAGAAGCCCAGGCAGGAUGGUCGGCCCACCUUUUAAAAAAAGGGAAACUAAAAAUAAGUCUCGGACCUCUUCUUCUCUCUUCCUCCCCCGUAUGACACUUCUAGUUUCAUACACUUUACUCUGAGAAAAAUCCAACGAAACCUCAUAUGAUCGAUUCUCAUAACCAGAUUGAUCAAAUCAUAUCAUCUUCCUCCCUGGAUUGCAUUGUGUAAAAUGCACAACUACAAUGUUGCAGCAUUUGCAGCAGUGUACAAGUCACUGAAUCACAUAAGACGUGUAAGAGCACGAACAACACAUUUGCACAAUGACGAGGCUGAAAAUGAAAGCUCAACACUUUAAUACGGAUGAAAUCGACCGGGCGGGAUGGCAAGAGUGCCCACUGCCCAACUGAUUAACACAGUCAAGAUUGGUGAGCGGUGAGCCGGUGACUAACAUAUAGUGAUUGCUUUCUAUUCCAAUCCCAGUUAAUAGUACAUUCCUUCUUCUCUCUUGGUAACAUUUCUACGUGCAGUCUUGCAGACAUCGUUUACCUGUGAUUAUGAGGAAUGCUGGCCCAUUUUCAUUUUUUUCCCUUCAUGAUAACUGCAUGUAACCAACAGUAAAAUCAAGAUUCCUCACAAAGGUUGUUGGCUAAGGUUGCCUUCAAAACUAUCACCGAAAGACAGCGUAUACUGUACGUCAGUACAGAUUCCUAACCAUGCACUAAACUCAAUGCAGUACAAUACACACACAUAUAGAUAGCUAUAGAGACCUAAGAGUUGGAAAGUAAUACACCAGACCCUGUAAACUUCCAAAUGGAGCAGAGGAAAGGCAGGAGGUUGAUACUCUUCCCGUUUCCCUUGCAAGGCCAUAUAAACCCUAUGCUUGAGCUAGCCAACAUUCUUCACUCGAAAGGCUUCUCCAUAAUCAUCAUCCAUACCAAUUUCAACUCUUUCAACAUGUCAACUCAUCCGCACUUCACCUUCCACUCAAUCUCAGAUGACUUAUCUGAAAGCCAGGCGGCUGAAAAGGAUCUCCUCCUCCUUCUUUCUCAUCUCAACGCAAAGUGCGGUGAACCUUUCCGGGAAUGCUUGGCCGCUUUGUUGUCUAGUGUAACAGAAGAGCCUGUUGCUUGCUUGAUCUGUGACCCCCUCUUUGACUUCACUCAGUCUGUUGCUGAGAGCCUCAAACUCCCAAGGAUCCUGCUAAGGACUGGUGGCGCUUCUUCCACUGCUGUCUAUUCGGCAUUUCCACUCCUGAAAGAAAAGGGUUACAUUCCAAUACAAGGUACAGAUAGCUUUCAAGUCACUUGCUAAAAGGGCAAAACGUAGAUUAAAAAUCUUCCCAUUAUAUUACUUGAGCUUGUCUAUCGGUUACUUAAGAAUCCUUACAGUUUCCUAUUUUCUACUUUGAAUUUUGGACACUAGAAUCUCGGCUGGAAGAGACGGUGACAGAGCUUUCACCUGUCAAAGUUAAGGAUCUUCCACCAGAGAGAUUUUUUAAAGCAGCACAAGCCUUUACAUAUGACACCAAGUUCUCAAAUGGCUAUGUCUUCAACACUUUUGAAGACCUUGAACAGCAUGCACUGGCCACAAUCCGCAAGGAAUUUCACAUUCCGGUUUUCCCAAUAGGCCCUUUUCAUAAGAAUUUCCCAGCAGCCUCUUCUUCAAGUCCAAGCUUAUUGUCACAAGACCGGAGCUGCAUUUCAUGGCUAGACACUCGACUACCAAACUCUGUCAUCUAUGUUAGCUUUGGGAGCCUUGCUGCAGUAAAUGAAGCUCAGUUUCUAGAGAUAGCUUGGGCACUAGCCAACAGCAAGCAACCCUUUUUGUGGGUGGUUCGACCCGGGUUAGUUCAAGGCUCGGAAUGGCUAGAACCACUGCCUAGUGGUUUUAUUGAGAGCUUGAAUGGAAUUGGACACAUUGUGAAAUGGGCACCCCAAAAAGAGGUGCUUGCCCAUCAAGCUGUUGGAGUAUUUUGGACUCACAAUGGUUGGAAUUCGACAUUGGAGAGCAUCUGCGAGGGAGUACCUAUGAUUUGUAUUCCAUUUUUUGCUGAUCAAAUGGUGAAUGCAAGAUAUGUGAGCGAUGUUUGGAAAGUAGGAGUGCGGCUAGAGCUUGGUAUCAAGAGAGAAGAAAUCGAAGCAGCAAUUAGAAGACUAAUGAUGGAGAAAGAAGGGGAAGAGAUACGAGAUAGAGUGUCAAAGCUAAAGGUUAUGGCAAAUAUUUGCCUAAAACAAGGUGGCUCUUCAUACCAAGCGUUGGAUGGCUUGGUUGAUCAUAUCUUAUCACUAGAAUCCUUAUUUACAAAACUUAAAAGUCAGUGAUAGAUUAAAAUUAUAGACGUAAGGUAUCAUAUUUGUGUAACUUUAUUCAAUAAUCCUACGAAAUAAAAUGUCUCUGCUUUGUGUAACUUUAUUCAAUAAUCCUACGAAAUAAAAUGUCUCUGUUUUGUGUACCUUUAUUCAAUAAUUCAUGCUGCAACCUAAUUGUUUACAUCUACCUAGCCUAGCACCAUAUUAUAUAGUAAACGUUAUAAUAAAAAUAUUAAUAAAAUGUAAUAUAAUUUUAUCAUAGGGCCAUAGGCCAUGCUAUGUAUAAAUCUUUCUACAUUUAUACAUAUAGGUAUCUACAUGUAUACAUGCAGAAAGAAACAACACUGAAUACAGGAGCAGUAGAUAUAGACUCAAGCGAAGACAGAAACCAGAAGGCAUGCGAUAUAUGUAGACUCUAAGUUUUAAUGGAGCAACUAGGAAAGGCCGGAGGCUAAUACUCUUGUCAUUACAAUUUCGAGGCCGUAUAAGCUUCUCCAUAACUGGGCUGAGCCUCCAGCUUAGGUUGGGUUCGAAAUCCCUUUCCAAAAAAAAAAAACCCACUUCAUAACAAUCACCGACACCGGCUUCAGCUCUCUCAACAUCACCACCAUCCCACUUCACUAUUCAUUGCAGCAAUGAAUGAAGCUAGCACAAAUUGGUAAAAUUAUAUGGUGGUUGGAAGCAUACGAUUCUAGAGUUUACUUUUGAAAUCAAACCGUAAUCAAUAUUAUACAUUAAUUCUCUCUUGGCCGGUAAAGGCUGUACUGCAAAACUGAAAGGCUGUACUGCAAGACUGAUAGCUAUGUAUGGAGCCCUUAUAUGGUAGCUUUGCAUUAAGGUGGGCACAUGCAAUACAGUUGCAUAACCUAACACUGGUCCAAUUUAAUUACAAUGCAUGUACUACGAUGUCAGGUUUGACAGUUACACACGUUUGUACAGUAUACAUCAGAUCGUAAACCGUUUAAUUGUUUAACAAUUUAAAAUUUAAGAUGAUCGGACCAUUCACGACCACGGCUUAAUAUAUGCUAUAUACAUAUGUAUAAUAGAAAAGUUGCUACAAUGUCAUCAUAUAUUGAUAUAUAGGCUACGGGGAUAGUGAGAUUAAAGAAACCAAAGAGACCUAAAGCCUCAAGCAAACAAAGUUCAAACGUACCUCUGAAAUUGUAAUGGAGCAGAGGAAUGGCCGGAGAUUGAUACUUCUCCCACUGCCCCUGCAAGGCCAUAUGAACCCCAUGCUUGAGCUGGCCAACAUUCUAUACUUCAAAGGCUUCUCCAUAACCAUCAUUCACACCAGUUUCAACUCUCUAAACCCUUCAACCCAUCCUCACUUCACAUACCACUUGAUCUCAGAUAACUUAUCUGAGAGCGAGGCUGUUGAAAAGGAUCUCCUCCUCCUCAUUUCCCAUCUCAACAGAAAGUGUUAUGAACCUUUCAGGGAAUGCUUCGCUUCCUUGGUAUCUGAUGCGUCAAAAGAGCCUGUUGCUUGCUUGAUCUCUGACCCUGUAUUUGAUUUCACUCAAUCUGUUGCAGAGAGCCUCAAGAUCCCAAGGAUUAUGUUAAGGACUGGUAGUGCCUCCUUCACUGCUGUUAUAUCUGCAUUUCCACUCUUGCAGGGAAAGGGUUACAUUCCAAAACUAGGUACAGUUUUUCUAAAAGACAAAUGCAAAUUUAAAAGUUACACUUUAAUUGAUGUGAGAUUAAUCAUCAUGCGGAAAACUUAAUUUUGGUCAUGUGAAAUCAUGGCAUGUAUUUGAGAUGUUGCUCUCUUCAUCACACCCUACACAUUACAUGUUAUUACCUACUUCCAUGCAUGGAGCUUCAGCUUUUCUCUAUUAGGUAUUUAUAAUGCAGCACAUUUGAUAGCUCUUAUAUCUGCCUAAUUUCUAUAUGGGCAUCAGAUUCUCGACUGGGAGAGCCAGUGACAGAGUUUUCACCUCUCAGAGUUAAAGAUCUUCCAGUGAUCAACAGUUCUGACCCAGAGAGAUUCUUUAAACUAGUACACAACCUGACGUACCAAACCAAAGCAUCAUAUGGGUUUAUUUUCAAUACUUUUGAAGACCUUGAGCAACACGCACUGGCCACACUUCGCAAGGAAUUUCACAUUCCAAUUUUCCCAAUAGGUCCAUUUCACAAGUGUGUCCCAGCAACCACUUCUACAAGUAGAUUCUUGUCACAAGACUGGAGCUGCAUUUCAUGGCUAAACACUCAAGCACAAAAAUCUGUGAUCUAUGUCAGUUUCGGGAGCAUUGCCACAUUAGACGAAGCUCAGUUUUUGGAGAUAGCCUGGGGACUAGCCAACAGCAAGCAACCCUUCUUGUGGGUGGUUCGACCUGGAUCAAUCUCUGGGUCAGAUUGGCUUGAACCAUUACCUAGUGGGUUUCAUGAGACCUUGAAUGGUAGGGGGCACAUUGUUAAAUGGGCACCUCAAAAAGAAGUGCUGGCUCAUCAAUCAGUUGGAGUGUUUUGGACUCAUAGUGGCUGGAAUUCUACAUUGGAGAGUAUUUGUGAGGGGGUUCCUAUGAUCUGUACACCAUUUUUUGGUGAUCAAAUGUUGAAUGCAAGAUAUGCAAGUGAUGUUUGGGAAGUUGGGUUGCACCUAGAGAAUGGAUUGGAGAGAGGCGAAAUUGAAAGAGCAAUUAGAAGUCUCAUGAUGGAGAAAAAAGGGGAUCAGAUGAGAGAUAGGCUGUCAAAGAUAAAGGAGAAGGCAAAUAUAUGCCUGAGACAAGGCGGCUCUUCAUACCAAUCUUUGAAUGACUUAGUUGAUCACAUUUUAUCCUUAGAAUCAUUGGCUCUCAUAAAACAUGAUUGAAAUAUUAUAGAUCCUCAUAUGUACAGAUUUCGAAAAUUCUAAGAAUAAAGCGAAAUACGUAUUUUGAUCAAAUAAUGAGUUCAUUGCUAUGGAAAAACUUGAUACAAUUGCUAGUAGUAUGAUAAAUAAUACAAUCAGAAGUCACUGACAAUUAAGCAUCUAUGUAGUGAAGCAACUAUGUGCUUGUGAAGCUACAAUGUGAUUUAGGCAUUUAGCGAUCAGUGCUGUGUUUUGUGCACCUUGGAUUGUAUCCCAAAUUUUAUUCAUGCUGCAAAUGAUGAAGGGUCUACAUCUACAGAGCCUAUUCCCAGGACGGUAAACAGCGAGUGUAACAACGCGAUGUUUAGUUCGACUGGUCCUCGUUUUAGUCGGUUUAUUCCGUUGUCCUCUCUCUCUCUCUCAUGAUCUCUUCUUCCUUAAUUUCUCCUCUCUCGCCAACACAACCCAGGUCCAAUCCUUCGCCGACUUCGUCGAUCGUACUCGACUCCACGCAUCCAAACAUUAUGAUUCUCUUUCAUCUUCAAGCAAUUCGUCCGUGCCAGAUCCUUUAAUUCCUUGCAGAUCGUCGAGUGGGUUUCCGAUUUCUGAUUAACUUGUUCUGAUUUUGAUGCCGUUUUAGAAAUUUAGUAGAUACUGAUUAUUGGAUUGGGUUUGAGUUCGACCACUUCGACGCCGAGAGUCUUCGUAUUUCUAUGGGGAGUUGGUUGCUAGGGCGGCAAGGCUAGCUUUGAUUGCUGAGGAGGUCCGGCGAUUGAGACUUUUGGUGGGAAUGGGUUCUCCUUGUAUAAGAGUAAAUGGGGUGGCAUUCAGGUCUUAAGGCUUACGAAUUGCUUUCUCGCAUUGCCGGCAAACAUCUACCUUUUUUUUUGGUCUGCAAACAUCCACCUUGAAUGUUGCCCAAUCAUGGGAUCUGGGUUUCUUCUGUUCCUUUGGAGAAGAAGAACUGAGUUUGUCUCCUAAAAAAUAAAAAAAAGAAUUAGAUAUAGGUUUAGGGGUUUGUGAUUUAGGGUUUUUUUUUUUUUUUUUUUUGAGAGUAAUGUUAAUUAAUUUAUAAUAAUUAAGAGGUUUGGGAUAAUGAAUUGUUUAAUGAUUAAUUUUAUUUUCCUUUUAGAGAGUAAUGUUAAUUAAUUUAUAAUAAUUUUCAGAAUAAAAAUUGAAACUUAUAUUAUUUUCUUUUUAUGAAAUAAAUAUUUCAUUAUUUAUUGAGUUGGACAAACGUAAGAUUUAAAAACCGAAAAAAAAUUCGUGGGAUCCUAAAUCUCAUAUAUUUGAGUUUUUUGUUUGAAAAUGGGGAAAAAUAGAAUCUUGCACGAUGUCGGUCAACCGUAUUUUGUGUAAAAAACGAGGUAUAUUUAAGGUUGACCAAUUUGAUAAGGGCCGUAACAAAUCUGAAAUGGGGUGUAUUUUUUUUCAGUAGACCUAUUUAAUUAUCAUGCCUACAUCAGAUCGUGAAAUUUUUAUUUUCACGUAUUUAUUACCUCGGAUCGUCACGUGUUUACUAAAGCGAUAUAACUUGUUUAGUAGUUUAUAUUCAAAUGAAUAUCAUUGUGAACCAACUAUACAGAGAAAGCAAAAUUUUUGAAAAUCUUGUGAAAUAGGAUGUGAUCAAGAUAGGGAAUACAGGCAGAAAUGAAAAAUCACAAACUUCCGGUAACGUUUAGGCCCCGAUAAAAGCGGUCAACCCUAAUUACGCUUAGGCGCUCCUAAGGGGAGUCUAACCAUUGGAGGGUCAAUUUAACAAAAAAAAUUCAUACGAUCCUAAAUCUCAUAUGUAUGAGCUUCUUGUUUGAAAACGAGGAAAAAUAAGAUCUCACACGUUGUCAAUCAACCGCGUUUUGUGUAAAAAACGAGGUAUAUUUAAGGUUAACCGAUUUGAUGAGGGGCUUAAUAAAUCUGAAACUGGGUGGAUUUUUUUUUUCAAUAGACCUUUUUAAUUACCAUGCCUACAUCAGACGGUGAAAUUUUUAUUUUCAAGUAUUUAUAACCUCGGAUAGUCACGUGUCUACUAGAGCGGUAUAACUUAUUUAGUAGGUUACAUUCAAAUGUAUAUCAUUGUGAACCAACUAUACAGAGGAAGCAAAAUUUUCGAAAAUCUUUGAAAUAGGAUGUGAUCGAAAUAGUGAAAUACAGGUAGAGAUGAAAAAUCACAAACUUCCGGUAAUGUUUAGGCCCCGAUAAAAGCGGUCAACCCUAAUUACGCUUAAGCGCACCACCGGAGGGUCAAUUUAACAAAAAAAAUCAUGAGAUCCUAAAUCUCAUAUAUAUGAGCUUCUUGUUCGAAAACGAGGAAAAAUAGGAUCUCGCACGAUGUCGGUCAACCGCGUUUCGUGUAAAAACGAGGUAUAUUUAAGGUUCACUGAUUUGAUGGGUGACAUAAAUAAUCUGAAACGGGAUGGAUUUUUUUCAGUAGAUCUAUUUAAUUACCAUACCUACAUCAGAACGUGGAAUUUUUAUUUUCACGUAUUUAUAACCUCGGAUCGUCACGUGUUUACUAAAGCGGUAUAACUUGUUUAGUAUGUUAUAUUCAAAUGUAUAUCAUUGUGAACCAACUAUACAGAGGAAGCAAAAUUUUAGAAAAUCUUGUGAAAUAGGAUGUGAUCGAAAUAGUGAAAUACAUGCAGAGUUGAAAAAUCACAAGUUUCCGGUAACUUUUUGGCCCUGAUUAAAGCGGUCAAUCCUAAUUACGUUUAGGCGCUCCUAAAAGAGCCUAACCACCGAAGGGAUAGGGAAAAUUUAACAAAAAAAAUUCAUGGGAUCCUAAAUCUCAUAUAUAUGAGCUUAUUUUUCGAAAACGAGGAAAAAUAGGAUCUUGCACGAUGUCAAUCAACUGCGUUUCGUGUAAAAAACGAUUUAUAUUUAAGGUUGACCGAUUCGAUGGGGGCGUAAAUAAUCCGAAACGGGGUGAAUUUUUUUCAGUAGACCUAUUUAAUUACCAUGCCUACAUCAGACGGUGAAAUUUUUUAUUUUCACGUAAUUAUGACCUCGGAUUGCAGCGUGACUACUAAAACGAUAUAACUUGUUUAAUAGGUUAUAUUCAAAUGUAUAUCAUUGUGAACCAACUAUACAGAAAAAGAAAAAUUUUCGAAAAUCUUGUGAAAUAGGAUAUGAUUGAAAUAGUGAAAUACGGAUAGGGAUGAAAAAUCACAAACUUCUGGUAACGUUUAGGCCCCGAUAAAAGCGGUCAACCCUAAUUACGCUUAGGCGCUCCUAAGGGGUGCCUAAUCUCCGGAGGGUCAAUUUAACAAAAAAAAUUCAUGGACCCUAAAUCUCAUAUAUGCGAGUUUUUUGUUCGAAAACGGGGAAAAAUAGGAUCUUGCACGAUGUCAAUCAACUGCGUUUCAUGUAAAAAACGAGGUAUAUUUAAGGUUGACCGAUUCGAUGAGGGCGUAAAUAAUCCGAAAGGGGGUGAAUUUUUUUCAGUAGACCUAUUAAUUACCAUGCCUACAUCAGACGGUGGAAUUUUUAUUUUCACGUAAUUAUGACAUCGGAUCGCAGCGUGACUACUAAAACGAUAUAACUUGUUUAGUAAGUUAUAUUCAAAUGUAUAUCAUUGUAAACCAACUAUACAGACAAAGAAAAAUUUUCGAAAAUCUUGUGAAAUAGGAUGUGAUCGAAAUAGUGAAAUACGGAUACGGAUGAAAAAUCACAAACUUCCGGUAACGUUUAGCUCUCGAUAAAAGCGGUCAACCCUAAUUACGCUUAGGCGCUCCUAAGGGGAGCCUAACCACCGGAGGAUCAAUUUAACAAAAAAAAUCAUGGGAUCCUAAAUCUCAUAUAUAUGAGUUUAUUGUUCGAAAAGGGGAAAAAAUAGGAUCUUGCACGAUGUCAGUUAACCGCGUUUCGUGUAAAAAAUAAGGUAUAUUUAAGCUUGACCGAUUCAAUGGGAGCAUAACAAAUCCGAAACAAGAUGGAUUUUUUUUCUGUAGACCUAUUUAUUUACCCUACCUACAUCGGACGGUGAAAUUUUUAUUUUCACAUAAUUAUGACCUCAGAUCGCAGCGUGACUACUAAAACUGUGUAACUUGUUUAGUAGGUUAUAUUCAAGUGUAAUAGGAUGAGAUCUUAAAUCUCAUAUAUACGAGUUUUUUGUUCGAAAAGGGAGAAAAAUAGGACGAAUUGAAUGAGCUAAGGUAUAAAACUCAUAUAUUUUUGGUAACAUUUGAGUCCCGAUCAAAGCGGUUAUUCUUAUUUACGUUUAUGUUUUCCCAUGAGAAGUAUGAUUUUCAUGACGUCAAAUCUAAAUUAUUUUUACACGGUUUGAAUGAGCUCGUCCUUGUGGCAGUGCAAGAAUUUUCAUGAAAUUGUUUUAGAACUUGAACUAUUUUGUUUAGAUUUAUUUUUAAUUUUAUGAACAUUUCCAUAAUUCUUAUUAACAAAUCUCUUCUAUUAUAACAUUUAGCCAUUUAGGGAUAACGGACACUAUCUCUAACAUUUAUAUGUAUUCAGUUUCACAAAAGAAAACAUUUAUAUGUAUUUUCUUGUUUUCAUAAGUACUUAGAAAAGUGAAUAUACAAAACCUAAAUUAUAAGAAAAUUGAAUAAAAAUAUAAAAAAGAUAAAAUUGUUAGCUGAAAAAUAUGUGCAACCGAGUGCACGUGGUUCGACCUUUCUUGCUGUCAAGAUUUGUUGGUGGCCUUUCCACCAUGACAACACACGAUCAGAUGAAGGAGAGAUCGAUCGAAUUCACUGACCCUCUGAACCCCGCUUGACCCCCCGUUCUUCUGGGUGUCCUCGCUGUCUCUUCCCUUGAUCGGAGGGAUCCCGAGUGGGUCUUCGAGCAAUUUCUACAAGGAGUCGUCUCGUCCCCACCACCACCCACAGCCGCCGAUCCGGUCAUCGACUGUGAAGUGAUUCGACGCUGAGAAGCAUCGGCGGUUCGGAGUCAAUUUCUCCGGCGACGGCUUGGGGGCUGCAUAUCUAAUCCAGCAGUGAUGGUAGAAAACUAGAGAUGCUAAGUGAUGGUAACUCAGCCUCGUGUUUUGUUUGUUUGACCAGAAUCUCCGAUGGUUGAUGAGGCCGGUCUGUGUUUUUUUGAGAGAAGAAGAGAGUAGACUCAGUAGAGGGAGGAGCUAAGUAAAAGGUGAUGAUUGAUACAUCCGCUUUCUCCACUCUCACUCGCCCACCUAAAAGUCUUCAACGGCAACUAACGUCCUUAUUAGAAAAAUGGUCCACGUUUCAAAUUAGACGGUUCUGAUGCCUGGUGCAGCUGUCCGACUGGUGCAGGGAAUAAUUUUCGCUACAUCUAACUACCAAGCGGCAAAUAAUUUAAUACAUGAGAGACGUAACAAAUAAAAUAUCUAAUAAAUAAACCAUGCUAUAGGCUAUGGUCUUUCUUUAUAAACAUACAUCACAAGCUUAGAGCCUUAGACGGUUCAUGUAUAAAAGUGAGAAAGCAAUAACAUAGAAGCAAUUUAGAAUCCAGGAGUAAGGAGUAAAGGAGACUCAAACCAGAUCCAAGCAAAUACAUUAGCUCUAAAGUUUAAUGGAGCAAAUUAGGAAAGGCCAGAGGUUGAUACUCUUCCCCUUACCCUUUCAAGGCCAUAUAAACCCUAUGCUUGAGCUAGCUAAUGUUCUACACUUCAGGGGCUUCUCCAUAACCAUCAUUCACACCAACUUCAACUCUCUCAACCCUUCAACCCAUCCUCACUUCACCUUCCACUCGAUCCCUGAUGGCCUAUCCGAAACUGAGACCUCCACAAAAGAUCCCGUCCUACUUAUUUCUUGUCUAAAUGCACACUGUUGUGAUCCUUUCCGGAACUGCCUGGCUAACUUGUUAUCUGAUGAUGGUUCAGAGGAGCCUAUUGCUUGUUUAAUCACUGACGCUCUCUUUUAUUUCACUAAAUCUGUUGCUAAGAGCCUCAAGCUUCCAAGGAUGCUGCUAAGAACAGGAAGUGCCACAUCGACUAUUGUUUAUGCCGUAUUUCCACUUCUAUGGGAAAAGGGUUACCUCCCAAAACAAGGUUAGUUUCUCUGAAAACACCUAGUUGCCUACUAAUGCCUCAGGUUUAUAUUCCUAAAUCCUCUACUAAUUAGGUCAUGUAUUUUCCAACUAUGCUCAAACUUAGACUGCUAUCUUUUUACUGUUUUGUUAGAAUCUCAACUAGAAGAGCCAGUGGUAGACCUGUCACCACUCAAAGUGAAAGACCUUCCAAUGAUGAACUCUUGUGACCCACAGGGAUAUUAUCAACUACUGAUUCAAAUGGUAAAGGAAAUCAAAACCGCAGAUGGAAUUAUUUUCAAUACUUUUGAAGAUCUUGAAGAACAAGCACUGGCUACAUUUCGACAAGAAUUUCCCAUCCCAGUUUUUCCAAUAGGUCCAUUUCACAAAUGGUUCUCAACCUCCUAUUCAAGUAGCUUAUUAUCAGAGGAUGAAAGUUGCAUUUCGUGGCUAAAUACUCAAGCACCAAAGUCUGUUGUCUAUGUUAGCUUUGGGAGCACUGCUGCAGUAAAUGAAGCUCAAUUUUUGGAAAUAGCUUGGGGAUUAGCCAACACCAAUCAGGCGUUCUUGUGGGUGGUUCGACCUGGAUUAAUCCAAGGCUCUGAAUGGCUAGAAAAAUUACCUCAAGGGUACCUGGAGGCUUUAGAUGGGAAGGGUCACAUUGUGAAAUGGGCACCACAGAAAAAGGUGCUGGCUCAUCCAGCUGUGGGACUAUUCUGGACUCACAAUGGGUGGAAUUCAACAUUGGAGAGUAUUUCUGAGGGGGUGCCUAUGGUUUGUAUGCCACAUUUCGCCGAUCAAAUGGUAAAUGCAAGAUAUGUAAGUGAUGUUUGGAGAGUAGGGUUGCAGUUAGAGAAUGGGAUCAAGAGAGACGAAAUUGAAAAAACAAUUCAAAAACUGAUGGCAGAGAAAGAAGGGGAAGAGAUCAAAGACGAAAUGUCAAUGCUUAAGGAGAAGACAAAUCUUUCACUCAGAGAAGGUGGCUCUUCAUACCAAUCCUUGGAUGGCUUGGUUAACCAUAUUCUAUCAUUAUAGUCACUGGACGUUGAUCAAAAUGUAUCAUAUUUUCAUCACUAUCAAGUCCCUGAUUGAUCAAAAUGUGUCUGUACUCUGUAGCAUAUCAUCUAUAGGCCAAACAGAAAAAACAGUACAUCAGACUGAGUUUAGAUCACGCAAGUAUUUAUCUGUAGUUCUAUCAAGUUUAGAUCUACGCAAGUAUUUAUAAAAAGACUCCGUUCCUUGUAUUCAGUAUUAUUGGUUUUGUACAAUUCCAGAACAGAACUAAAAGGCUCUUCUCUCUCUUUAUUCGUUUUUCUCUCAUAAUUAUAUAGCCUUUCACUCUUAUGCACUAUAUAUAUAUAUGAUCAAUUUCAGUUUACAUCCCUGAGGUUUAGGGUUAACAUUAUUUCACUCCUCAUAUUUAUAAUUUAAAAAAUUUACCACCUGAAAUUUUCAAUUUUUAUAAAUCAUGCCCAAUUGUUGAAAUUCUGUUUAAUUCAGACGUUAAUUUUGACUUCAUAACUCAUUAAAAAGGCUAAUAUAGUCUUAUAAUAACAUAAAUCUCCUCUUAGAAUUUUUUUUCUACUAUCUCAUGCUAUCAUUUAAUCACUUAACCUUCAAAUUGGACGAAAUUUUAGGAAUUAUGUAUGAUUUAUGAAAAUUGAAGACUUUAAGGGGUAAAUUUUUAAAAUUAAAAAUAUGGAGAGUGAAACGAUGUUAACCCUAAACCUCGGAGAGUAAAUUGAAAUUAAUCCUAAUAUAUACUCCACAUAAUUACAUAUUUCAGAAAAUUUUAUAUGAAAGUGAAAUGUGUAUUUUAAUCUAAUAAUGGGUUCAUUAUUAGAAGAUAAUCAACAGAAACAAUAAGAAUAAUACAGUCAUGAGUCAUUUCAGUGUCUAUUUCAGUGUCUAUGUUUUAUUCAAUGCACCUGCAAAUUAAGGGUCUACAUCUAGCAAACAAGUGGCAAAUAAAUUAAGACUAUGAGAGCUUGUAGUCAAAAAAAGGAUUAUGAUCCUCUCUUUGGCUGGCAGUUGUCUUUGGUUAUCCUUAACUUUGAAUCUCAUUCGUCCAUUUAAAAUCCUAAGGUUUAAAACCAUGACAGCUCAGCAAGUUCCCACUAAAACUCAUUAAAUGAGACAUUUUAAUUACAAACGUCGUUUCUAUGUCGACGGAGACGUUAAAAUGAUUGAGUUCUCUUUCUCUUCCUUUACUUCUCCGCCUUCAGCCGUCUUCUAGUUCUUACUCACCUUCUUGUCAUCUCUUCCUUUGUUCCUGGGGGAUAUUUAUUUUCAAAUCAGGAUUCGCACUAAAGCUCAAAUCGGAAAAGACCCACCAAGAAUUGUAAUCCAAUUUGGGAUGCAGUUGAAAGGUUUUGUUGAUAACCGUAGGUGUAAACCAGAAAUAACAAGAACAGCAGCUGAAAAGCCCGACCAAGAUUUGUUGAUUCAUUCCUUUCGAUUGGGUUUUAAAUUUGGUUUUUUUUUUUAUUUCGAAUGGGCGGCGCUGAAAGUGGCGACCUGGGUCGCGGCUUCUCUGUUUUCAACCCGGUCGGAUGAACUGUUGCCGACGAGGUCGUUGGAAGUGGGUUUGUGGUUGAUUCGGACUUGGAGUUGGUUUCGCUGAAGCUUUUGAUGACAACUUUGCUUCGGGAGCGGCGGCGGGCCGGCCACCAGAGACGGGAGCAGAGGCGGAGCAGGCGGGGAAAAUGGCUUUGGGUCAGAAAUUUGUUUUGGGUUGUGGGUUUGUUGGAGAAGGAGAAAAAAGAUGGAGUCUUUGAAAAUGAAGAAGACUCUGAGGAGUUGGGUUUGGCAUGAAUUUGUUGAAGGAAAUUGCAGGUGCUGGGUUUCUUGCACUCAGAUGAAUGUUGGGGGAGACGUUAAACUGUUGAAGGAGAGAUGAAAUAGAUAGAGAUGUAACAGCGUUAAGCAUUGAUAUAUGUGGAGUAUUAAAAGUACUGUAUUUAUUAUAGAGUUUGCUGAUGUGGGGUUUUAUUAGCCUUUAGAUUUUUCAUCAACGGUUGAUAAUAAAAGCUAAGGAUAAACAAAGGCACCUACCAACCAAUGAGAGGAUCCUAAUCCAAAAUAGAAAGAAAAGAAAUUAAGACAAUGAGAGACGUAACAAAUUAAACUUCAAACAUACAAUUUUGUGGAUCAAAACUGAUGACUAUCAGUGACCAGUCCAUCAAUAGAGAGAGAGAGAGUUGAUUAGAUGGUCAUUGACGGUGAUAACCAGCAAAACUGGAUCCACAAAAUUGUCAAUAGGUUAUAGCGCUAUGUUCAUUAAUAUAUAGAUAUGUAAAGAAAGAAUCAAAGAAACAACACUGGAACAAUUUAGACAUCAGGAGUAGGGAGCAAAGGGGACUCAAACCAGAGCCAAACAAUUUAGACUCCAUUUCGCUCUAAAGUUUAAUGGAGCAAAUUAGGAAAGGCAAGAGGUUGAUACUCUUCCCAUUACCCCUUCAAGGCCGUAUAAACCCUAUGCUUGAGCUAGCUAAUGUUCUACACUUCAGAGGCUUCUCCAUAACCAUCCUCCACACCAACUUCAACUCUCUCAACCCUUCAAACCAUCCUCACUUUACCUUCCACUCGAUCCCUGAUGGCCUAUCCGAAACUGAGACCUCCACAAAAAGUCACAUGCUCCUUGUUUCUUGUCUAAACGCAAACUGUCAUGAUCCUUUCCGAAACUGCCUAGCUAACUUGUUAUCCGAUGAUGGUUCAGAGGAGCCUAUUGCUUGCUUAAUCACUGACCCUCUCUUUGACUUCACUCGAUCUGUCGCUAAGAGCCUUAAGCUUCCAAGGAUGCUGCUAAGAACAGGAAGUGCCACAUCGACUACUGUUUUUGCCGCAUUUCCACUUCUAUGGGAAAAGGGUUACCUCCCCAAACAAGGUAAGUUCUUCUGAAAACACCUAGUUGCCUGGUGGCUAAGAUUUAUAAGCCUAGGUGUUUACUGCUUGAUGGGUCAUGUAUUUUUCAAUUAUCCUCAUACUUAGACAUCUAUGGUUUCACUGCUUUGUUAGAAUCUCAACUAGAAGAGCCAGUAGUAGAGUUGCCACCACUCAAAGUCAAGGACCUUCCAAUGAAUUCUGGUGACCCAAAGAUAUUUUAUCAACUAGUAACUGAACUGGCAAAUGAGGUCAAGACUUCAGAUGGAGUUAUUUUCAAUACUUCUGAAGAUCUUGAAGAACAAGAAUCCGACAAGACUUUCCCAUCCCAAUUUUCCCAAUAGGUCCAUUUCACAAAUGGUUCCCAACCUCCUAUUCAAGUAGCUUAUUAUCAGAGGAUGAAAGUUGCAUUUCGUGGCUAAAUACUCAAGCACCAAAGUCUGUUGUCUAUGUUAGCUUUGGGAGCACUGCUGCAGUAAAUGAAGCUCAAUUUUUGGAAAUAGCUUGGGGAUUAGCCAACACCAAUCAGCCUUUCUUGUGGGUGGUUCGACCUGGAUUACUCCAACGCUCUGAAUGGCUAGAAAAAUUACCUCAAGGGUACCUGGAGGCUUUAGAUGGGAAGGGUCACAUUGUGAAAUGGGCACCACAGAAAAAGGUGCUGGCUCAUCCAGCUGUGGGACUAUUCUGGACUCACAAUGGGUGGAAUUCAACAUUGGAGAGUAUUUCUGAGGGGGUGCCUAUGGUCUGUAUGCCAAUUUUUGCCGAUCAAAUGUUAAAUGCAAGAUAUGUCAGUGAUGUUUGGAGAGUAGGGUUGCAGUUAGAGAAUGGGAUCAAGAGAGACGAAAUUGAAAAAACAAUUCGAAAACUGAUGACAGAGAAAGAAGGGGAAGAGAUCAAAGACAAAAUGUCAAAGCUUAAGGAGAAGACAAAUCUUUCACUCAGAGAAGGUGGCUCUUCAUACCAAUCCUUGGAUGGCUUGGUUAACCAUAUUCUAUCAUUAUAGUCACUGGACGUUGAUCAAAAUGUAUCAUAUUUUCAUCACUAUCAAGUCACUGAUUGAUCAAAAUGUGUCUGUACUCUGUAGCAUAUCAUCUAUAGGCCAAACAGACAAAUCAGUACAUCAGACUGAGUUUAGAUCACGCAAGUAUUUAUAUGUAGUUCUAUCAAGUUUAGAUCUACGCAAGUAUUUAUAAGAAGACUCCGUUCCUUGUAUUCAGUAUUAUUGGUUUUGUACAAUUCCAGAACAGAACUAGAAGGCUCUUCUCUCAUAAUUAUACAGGCUUUCACUCUUAUGCACUACUUAUAAUAUAUAGGAUUAAUUUCAGUUUACACCCCUGAGGUUUAGGGUUAACAUCAUUUCACUUCUCAUACUUAUAAUUUUGAAAAUUUACACCCUAAAGUUUUCAAUUUUCAUAAAUCAUGUCCAAUUGCUGAAAUUUUGUCUAAUUCAGACUUUAAUUUUGACUUCAUAACUCACUAAAAAGGCUAAAAUAGUCUUAUAACAACAUAAAUCGCUUUUUAGGACUUUUUUCCUACGAUUUCAUGCUAUCAUUUAACCUCCAAAUUGGACGAAAUUUUAGCAAUUGUGUUUUGACUUUAUGUAAAAAUUGGAGACUUUAAGGGGUAAAUUUUUAAAAUUAAAAGUAUGAGGAGUGAAACGAUGUUUAACCCUAAAUUUUGAAAAUUUACACCCUAAAGUUUUCAAUUUUCAUAAAUCAUGCCCAAUUGCUGAAUUUCUGUCUAAUUCAGACGUUAAUUUUGAUUUCAUAACUCACUAAAAAGGCUAAAAUAGUCUUAUAACAACAUAAAUCGCUUUUUAUUAUUUUUUUCCUACGAUCUCAUGCUAUCAUUUAACUUCCAAAUUGGACGAAAUUUUAGCAAUUGUGUCUGAUUUAUGAAAAUUGGAGACUUUAGGGGUAAAUUUUUACAAUUAAAAAUACGGGGAGUGAAACGAUGUUAACUUUAAACCUCAGGGGGUAAAUUGAAAUUAAUCCUAAUAUAUACUCCACAUAAUUACAUAUUUCAGAAAAUUUUAUAUGAAAGUGAAAUGUGUAUUUUAAUCUAAAAUGGGUUCAUUAUUAGAAGAUAAUCAACAGAAACAGUAAGAAUAAUACAGUCAUGAGUCAUUUCAGUGUCUAUGUUUUAUUCAAUGCACCUGCAAAUUAAGGGUCUACAUCUAGCAAACAAGUGGCAAAUAAAUUAAGACUAUGAGAGCUUGUAGUCAAAAAAAGAAAUAAAAGAAAUUAAGACUACGAGAGACGUGACAAAUUAAAGUUCAAACAUACAAUGUUGUCAAUAGGUUAUAGUGCUAUGUUCAUUAAUAUAUAGAUAUGUAAAGAAAGAAACAACACUGGAACAAUAUAUUUAGACUCCAGGAGUAGGGAGCAAAGGGGACUCAAACCAGAGCCAAGCAAGUUAGACUCCAUUCGCUCUAAAUUUUAAUGGAGCAAAUUAGGAAAGGCCAGAGGUUAAUACUCUUCCCGUUACCCUUUCAAGGCCAUAUAAACCCUAUGCUUGAGCUAGCUAAUGUUCUACACUUCAGAGGCUUCUCCAUAACCAUCCUCCACACCAACUUCAACUCUCUCAACCCUUCAAACCAUCCUCACUUCACCUUCCACUCGAUCCCUGAUGGCCUAUCCGAAACUGAGACCUCCACAAAAAGUCCCAUGCUCCUUGUUUCUUGUCUAAACAGACGCUGUCAUGAUCCUUUCCGAAACUGUCUAGCUAACUUGUUAUCCGAUGACGGUUCAGAGGAGCCUAUUGCUUGCUUAAUCACUGACCCUCUCUUUAACUUCACUCAAUCUGUCGCUAAGAGUUUUAAGCUUCCAAGGAUGCUGCUAAGAACAGGAAGUGUCACAUCGACUAUUGUUUAUGCCGCAUUUCCACUUCUAUGGGAAAAGGGUUACCUCCCGAAACAAGGUAAGUUCUUCUGAAAACACCUAGUUGCCUAAUGGCUAAGAUUUAUAAGCCUAGGUGUUUACUGCUUGAUGGGUCAUGUGUUUUUCAAUUAUCCUCAUACUUAGACAUCUAUGGUUUCACUGCUUUGUUAGAAUCUCAACUAGAAGAGCCAGUAGUAGAGUUGCCACCACUCAAAGUCAAGGACCUUCCAACGAACUCUUGUGACCCAAAGAUAUUUUUGCAACUAAUAACUGAAUGGGGAAAUGUAAUCAAGACUUCAGAUGGAGUAAUUUUCAAUACUUCUGAAGAUCUUGAAGAACAAGCACUGCUUACAAUCCGACCAGACUUUCCCAUCCCAAUUUUCCCAAUAGGUCCAUUUCACAAAUGGUUCCCAACCUCCUAUACAAGUAGCUUAUUAUCAGAGGAUGAAAGUUGCAUUUCAUGGCUAAAUACUCAAGCACCAAAGUCUGUUGUCUAUAUUAGCUUUGGAAGCAUUGCUGCAGUAAAUGAAGCUCAAUUUUUGGAAAUAGCAUGGGGACUAGCCAACACCAAUCAGCCUUUCUUGUGGGUGGUUCGACCUGGAUUACUCCAAGGCUCUGAAUGGCUAGAAAAAUUACCUCAAGGGUACCUGGAGGCUUUAGAUGGGAAGGGUCACAUUGUGAAAUGGGCACCACAGAAAAAGGUGCUGGCUCAUCCAGCUGUGGGACUAUUCUGGACUCACAAUGGGUGGAAUUCAACAUUGGAGAGUAUUUCUGAGGGGGUGCCUAUGGUCUGUAUGCCAAUUUCUUGCGAUCAAAUGUUAAAUGCAAGAUAUGUGAGUGAUGUUUGGAGAGUAGGGUUGCAGUUAGAGAAGGGGAUCAAAAGAGGCGAAAUUGAGAUAACAAUUCGGAACCUGAUGACAGAGAAAGAAGGGGAAGAGAUCAAAGACAAAAUGUCAAAGCUUAAGGAGAAGACAAAUCUGUCACUCAGAGAAGGUGGCUCUUCAUACCAAUCUUUGGAUGGCUUGGUUAACCAUAUUCUAUCAUUAUAACGUCACUGGUUGAUCAAAAUGUACCAUAUUUUUAUCAUUAUUAAGUCACUGAUGUUUCAAAAUGUGUCUAUAAUAUGUAGUAUAUCAUCUAUAGGCCAAACAGAAAAACAGAAAAAGAAAGACAAGAAUAAUACAUCAAACUAAGGUUAGAUGACUUAGAUCCACAUAAGUAUUUAUAUGUAAUUCGCUCAAGGUUACACCUAGAGCUUACAAUUCAGGUCUAAUAGAUUACUUUCGUCAGCAUGAGUGACAAGUGCCUAUGAUUUGUAUGGCAUGUUCUUUUGAUCAAAUGAUGAAUGCAAGAUAUGUAACCAAACUUGGAAUGGGGUUGGGAGAGGCGACACUGAAAGCACCAUAUAAAGCUAAUGGUGGAGGAAGAAGGGGAACAGAUCAAAAACAGUGUUAAAGCAAGCUGAUGCAGAAGGUAAAUUUUUGCCUCAGACAAGGUGGCUCCUUGGAUGCCUUGAUCAAACACAUUUUAUCAUUCAUAUGACUUGUAUUUCCAGACUUAGAAUCAGUUAUUGAUUAAAAUGUGUAUGCAGGACUUUAGGUCAUCAUUUAAAAAAAAGGAAAAAGAAUGUGUGUGUGAUCUAGUAAUCUUUUUUAAAGUAAUUAUAGAUCAGGACUGAUAGUUCUACAAUGAAUGAGUUGGAAUCAGUGAUCUAUCUCUUUCUAGUAUUCUUACGAGUUGUAAACCCUUGGGCCUAGCAAAAGAUGCCUCCAGCAACAUGCAAUGAAUUUUAUUCAAUGUUAUCAGGUAUGAUGAUGUGAAAACUAUAUCAGUUUGUCUCCCUAUCAAAAUGUAGUUGUAAAGAGUGGAAAGGUUGGUGAGGCUGUGUAAGGCACCAAACAAAAGACGAGCCAUUGAUGUGAAAACUAUAUCAGUUAGUCUCCCUAUCAAAAUGUAGUUGUAAAGAGUGGAAAGGUUGGUGAGGCUGUGUAAGGCACCAAACAAAAGACGAGCCAUUUGUUUCUGUGUACCUAUCAAGGACAAGACUUGGACAAGAGAAACACAGAUUUCACAAGCCAAGCAAACUGAGUCAAUCUAACUCCAAUGGAGGAAAGGAAGGGCCGGAGAUUGAUACUCUUCCCAUUGCCCUUACAAGGUCAUAUAAACCCCAUGCUAGAACUGGCCAACAUUCUAUACCUGAAAGGCUUCUCCAUAACCAUCAUUCACACCAACUUCAACUCUCUCAACCCUUCAAGCCAUCCACACUUCACCUUUCACUCAAUUCCAGAUGGCUUAUCUGAAAGUGAGGCCUCCACAAAGGAUCUCAUCUUCCUCGGUUCUCUUUUAAAUGUUAAAUGUGUUGAACCUUUCCGAGAAUGCUUGGCCAGCUUGUUAUCUGAUGUUUCAGAGGAUCCUGUUGCUUGCUUGAUAUCAGAUGCUAUCUUUCACUUCGCUCAAUCUGUUGCCGAUAGCUUAAAGGUCCCAAGGGUUGUUUUAAGGACUGGGGGUGCUUCUUCAUUUACUGUUUUUGCUGCAUUUCCACUUCUGCGUGAAAAGGGCUACAUCCCAAUACAAGGUUUGGUUUCUUGCUUGGUUACUUAUCUGUCUUGGUAAUUGAUUGUUAAAAUGUAGAUAAUUUAGUACACUACGGCAUUACCUGAUGAUUAAAGAUAUAUAAGACUAGAUCCUAGUACUCAUUGUAUAGUUCCAGUAAGUAUUUCUUUGUACUAGUCCAACAAUGCCUAUAUGACUGUUAUAACUCAUUGCUUGAGCCCCUCUAAUGGCUAUUUACCAGUUAACAUCACACCUGAUAACAAUACUUAUUCAGUUCACUUCCUACAUUGGUAUUAGAUUCUCGACUAGAAGAGCUUGUGACAGAGUUCCCACCUCUCAAAGUGAAAGACCUUCCUGUGCUCAACAGGUGCAACUCGGAGGAAUAUUAUCAACUAGUAGAUGGCAUGUCAAAUGGAUCCAAGACCUCAAGGGGACUAAUCUUCAAUACUUUUGAAGACCUUGAAGAGCAUGCACUGGGAAAACUUAGACAAGAAUUCCCCAUACCAAUUUUCCCUCUAGGACCCUUUCACAAGUGUUACCCUGCAGCCUCUUCUUCAAGUCCUUUGUCAACUGAAGACAAAAGUUGCAUUCCAUGGCUAAACAGUCAAGCGCCAAAAUCCGUUGUCUAUGUUAGCUUUGGGAGCAUAGCAGCAAUAAAGGAAGCUCAAAUUUUGGAGAUAGCUUGGGGACUAACCAACAGCAAGCAGCCUUUCCUAUGGGUGAUUCGACCUGAAUCAAUCCACGGAGGUUCACAAUGGCUUGAACUAUUACCUAGUGAAUUUCUUGAAAACUUGAACGGGAGGGGGCACAUUGUGAAAUGGUCUCCUCAAAAAGAAGUCUUAUCACAUCCAGCCAUCGGAGUCUUUUGGACUCACAGCGGCUGGAACUCUACAUUGGAAAGCAUUUGCGAGGGAGUUCCUAUGAUUUGCAUGCCAUGCUUCAGUGAUCAAAUGGUGAACGCAAGAUACGUAAGCAAUGUCUGGAAGAUUGGUUUGCAGUCAGAGAAGGGAACAGAUAGAGGUGAAAUCGAAAGAACGAUUAGAAAACUAAUGGUGGAGAAAGAAGGGGAAGAAAUCAGAGGCAGAAGCUUAAAGCUAAUGGAGAAGGCAAAUCUCUGCCUCAAACAAGAUGGCACUUCAUACCAAUCCUUGGACGGCUUGGUUAAACAUAUUCUAUCACUAGAAUCAUUUGUUUUUCGAACUCAGUGAAUCCCCAACAUGGUAUUGGGAAAUUCAUUCAGGUUGUCUAUGAGGGCUACAAGUUCAUAAGAAGUAGUGCUUAUGUAGUUGAAUAAAUUCAUCUUUAAAUAAAACUAGCAGAGAGCAUGCACUUGCAUUCUCAACAUUAACCAAGAUCAGUGAAAAGCAUCAACAAAUUAUUUUAUAAUAGAAUGAUCACUGAAGCUCAAAGUAUCAAGUCAAUCACAUACUGGAGAAAUAUAAGGAAUUUAAUAGAAUUAUUACGGCAGAAACAGAAGAAUGAAAGAGAAAUUCUUGAAACCUGAAGAGGUGGGUUCAUGGAGAUCCAUCAAAGCCCUCUGAAGGUCUGAAGUGUCUUCCCGCCAAAAAAAAACGUCGUCGGCCGCCGAGGCAAAGUAGAUCGUCAUCAGCAAGCGCUUAUUUGUGAUUAGACUGGGAGCUACUUUUCUGGUUUGUAAAGGCUUCUUUCUAGGUUUGGGCCUUGUUGUUGUUUCCAUCUUUUUUAAUGGGUUUAAUCUUCAAUGAGCUUAUCUUCAUGAGGGUAAAAUAUUAUGCUCAAUCACUCAUGAUGAAACGAAAAUUCUUCUAUACACCAAGAUGGGUACAAGUGAACCAAGCAAUUAAUAUAUAGUAUUUUGAUCCGGUCAUUUAGGUCGCACUACAUGUAUAUAUACUAAUACCGUUAAAAAAAUUGAAACCCAAAAAAAUAGUCUCAAGUGUUUUAACUAAGGAGGUGAGAACACUAGGUUAAAAAAGAUGUACUCUUAUUAUGAGCGUUUAAUUUGAUUAGAUCAAAAAUAAAAUUAAAAUGAAGGAAUUUAAGGUCUCUAGUAUUCAUUCGAUCUUCCCAUACGACGAUUUGAGCACUUAGACAUUAUAUAGGUUGUGAAAUCCACACAUCCCAAAUUGAAAUCCACACACUUUUUUUUCAUUUUUGGUUAACACAUUCAUAAAAAAAUACAAAGUUUAAGUCACUAAGAGACAAAAUUUAAGUUACCAAAAAAGAAAAGAAAAAAGUGUGGAUUUCAAUUUAAGGUGUGUAGAUUUCACAACCCAUAUAAUGUGGUAGCUCUUUUUGUUCGUCCUACGUUUAUGCCUUCAGUAGCAUGAUAACUACAUCAUUUGUAAUUUUGUAUCCUCUACUCUAAUCCAAGUCGUUUUAAUUCAUAUGCAGAAUUCUAUGAAUGAACCGAUAUAUUAAGUACAUGUAGUUUGAUAUAGAAAUAGAGUAGUUUAACAACGUACAUAGUCUGUCUAUAUUUUAAUCGAGCUAGUCUCUUCAAUAUUGUACGAUAAGUCCAUAACCCUAAUUCAAGCCUAAUAUUUUACUUUUUGUAUCACCUUGUUCAAUGGAGCAAGCAUGUGAAUACAUGUGAAGGCUGCGUUUCUACUACAUUUAGAUUCCUCCUUAACUCACAUUGAACCAUGUAAAUCAUAGUUUACAGAGCUGGUAUAGAUGUGAAGGUGUACAAGAGCAGCACUGCAGCAGUGUACAAAAAGAAAGACCGGCCACUAGACCAGUGAGGGCUGUGAGGUCAAUGGAUAGUUGAAUACAAGUAGCCACAAUCAGAAGAGAUCCUAUCAAACACAGAUCAAGUCCUCUAAGUUCAAAUGGAGCAACUCAGGAAGGGUCGGAGAUUGAUACUCUUCCCACUGCCAUUUCAAGGCCAUAUUAAUCCCAUGCUUGAGCUAGCCAAUAUUCUAUACUCGAAAGGCUUCUCCAUAACCAUAAUCCACACCAGCUUCAACUCUCUCAACCCUUCAAGCCAUCCACACUUCACCUUCCAAUCAAUCCAUGAGGGCUUCUCCAAAAACGCAACCUCAAAGGAUACUCUCCUCGUCAUUUCUAGUCUAAAUGCAAAGUGUCAUGAACCAUUCAGGGAAUGCUUAACCAGGUUGUUGUCCGACGUUUCGAAAGAGCCUGUUGCUUGCUUAAUCACAGACUCCGUCUAUGAUUUCACUCAAUCUGUUGCAGAGAGCCUAAAGCUGCCAAGGAUUCUGUUAAGGUCUUGGAGUGCCUCUUCGUUUGCUAUUUAUGCUGCAUUUCCACUUCUUCGAGAGAAAGGUUACCUCCCAAAACAACGUGAGUUAUUCUAGCUAGAUCUAGGAAUAAGUGUUCAUAUAUAUAGCAGCUAAACACAUUCUGGAUAUAUUUACACUUUAUUACCUAUAUAUGUAUGCUCGAGCUCCUCUAUAUACUACUUACUCUCCAUUUUGGCUUUAGAUUCUCGACUAGAAGAGGAAUUGACAGAGCUUUCACCUUUCAAGGUUAAAGACCUUCCACUUAUCAACAGUGAUGGUCCAGAGAGAUAUUUUAAAAUUAUUGCUGACUUGGAAGAUCAAACCAAGGCCUCAUAUGGAUUGAUUCUUAAUACUUUUGAAGAGCUUGAUGACCGUGCACUGGCCUCAAUUCGCCAGAAUUACUCUAUUCCGAUUUUCUCACUAGGACCAUUUCAUAAGUGCUACCCCAACUCUUCUUCAACCUCAAGUAGCUUAUUAGCACAAGACCAGAGUUGCAUUUCAUGGCUAAACACACAAGCACCAAAAUCUGUUAUUUAUGUUAGCUUUGGAAGCAUUGCAGCAAUAAAGGAAGAUCAGUUUUUAGAGAUAGCCUGGGGACUAGCCAACAGUAAGCAGCCCUUCUUGUGGGUGGUUCGACCCGGAUUAGUCCCUGGGUCAGAUUGGCUUGAAGCAUUACCUAGUGGGUUUCUUGAGACCUUGAAUGGUAAGGGGCACAUUGUUAAAUGGGCGUCUCAAAAAGAGGUGCUUGCCCAUCAAGCAGUUGGAGUGUUUUGGACUCACAAUGGCUGGAAUUCUACAUUGGAGAGUAUUUGCGAGGGGAUCCCUAUGAUUUGUUUGCCAUGUUCUGCUGAUCAAAUGCUGAAUGCAAGAUAUGUAAGCGAUGUUUGGAAGGUUGGGUUGCAGUUAGAAGAUGGGGUUGAGAGAGGCAACAUUGAAAAAACCAUCAGAAAACUAAUGAUGGAGAAAGAAGGGGAGGAGAUCAAAGACAGAGUGGAAAAGCUAAAGCAGAAGGCAAAGGUUUGCCUGAAACCAGGUGGCUCCUCGUAUCAAUCCUUAGAUGCCUUGAUCAAACACAUUUUAUCAUUCGACUAGUUUGAUCAUCCAAACUCAGAAUCGUUCAUUAGUUUAAGUUCGCAUGUAGGCCACGCAUGGCUUGCAUAAUAAAAUAUAAUCUAGUCGUCAUAUUAACAAUGAGGUGGGAACCAAUUGCUUGGUACUUUUCAUCAUUGUGUUUUUAGUCAUGUCUAGACGGAGGUAAAUUUUUCAAUUUUUCUGAUGAUGUUUUGCAAAUUUGGGACAUAAUCUACAGUGUGCUAGACUGUUAGUUGGUGUUCUGCUUUUUUCUGAUUCUUGAUUUUGUAUCUCAUGUCAUGCGUUUUAAUUUGACCUAAUAAGGGUGUUCGCGAGGUGUUUCGUUGUAAUUAUAUUUCUCAUACUCGAAAGAAUUGCUUGUUAUAUAAGCUGUUAACUUGUAAACCCUUGGGCCUAGCAAAAGAUACCUCUCGCUACUUGCAGUGACUUUCUUUAACGUUAUUAUGUAUGAAGAGCUUGAAUAAAUUUAGGUUAUUGUCAGGUAACUGGCUAUACCUCACACUAUAAAAACGCUAGGAUAUUGUGAGGUAAACAGUCAAGUUCUAGUGAGGCAUCCGAGCUCAUUACAACCGAUCAACUUUCAUACAGCUAGCAAGCUUAAUACAGACUAAAAUAAUAUUUUUUUCCUAAAAAAAAGUGACCAGUAUCAAAAUUGGACGAUGUUAACUCCAAACCUCAGGGAGGGUAAACUAAAAUUAAUUUUUUCUCUAAUCCCAAGUUUUUUCUGUCUUGAAUUGACAAUUUUAGUCCCAAAAGUGGGUUACAGGAUCAUAGUUAACCACCAAAUUAGAAGGAACUUGAGAAAUCUGGAUUUUUAGUGUCUCACACUCACAAAUUCUUUUCCUUCAAUAGAAAAUUUCAUAAAAGUCUCAUUUGAAACAUUUUAUCCUUCGUAAGUCCACCUCAUAUUUUUUACCCACAUAAAUCCACUUCAAAGCUUAAUUCCAUCAGCUUACAUUUUUGUUAUACCGAAACUGCCAUCCUCUCUUUAUACCGAGUUUUCCUCUCUCUCCGAUCUAGAAACACACACUCUCUCUCUCUCUCUCUCUCUCUCUCUCUCUCUCUCUCUCUCUCUCUCUCUCUUCUUCCCNCCUAAACUCUCUCUCUCUCUCUCUCUCUCUCUCUCUCUCUCUCUCUCUCUCUCUCUCUCUCUCUCUCUCUCUCUCUCUCUCUCUCUCUCUCUCUCUCUCUCUCUCUUCCACCUUCGAUUCCAACACCGCUACCACGCCACCUUGAUGACGACUUCCGGCUAGAUCUCGAUUGCAUCUCCAACUCAGACGAUGCGGCCGCCGAGACGAUGACUUCGGGAUCGACCGUCGACGACAUCUCGACGACCUAGACUGCAUAUCCCUCAAAGCGCAAGCAGAUCUACAAGGUCGUCACCAAACUAGCUCUGAAGCGAAUGCGAUCGUAGAUCUGCUUGCGUCGGAGGUCUCUCUCAGAAGAUCGAUCCUCACUAAUCGUCCUUGUCGACGUCGCUGUCAACGUCGGCGCUGGUUUUCAAUAACGACGAUGGCGGCGGUCGAUGUCAAUUUUGUAGAUCGCUCGCCGGAGACAGCGUGACUCCCUGGCCAAGUUCCACAAGACCGGUGAUGAAUUGCUUCUCAAUCAUGUAAGCAGGUUUUGGCUCUUGAAUCCGUUGCCUAAUUUGAUUGUUGAAGAUAGUGUGUUUGAAUUUUCUUCAUGAUUUUAGCUCAAUUGUGCAGUAGUAGUGUGUAUAACAAUCAUGUUUGACUGAAUAGAUGUUAAGUAGUGUGAAAUGAAGUGUUUUAGUCUGAAAUGAUGUUUAGUGUAUAUGUGACGACUCAAAAUUUUUAAAAUAAAAAUAAUAAUACCUAAACUAGUAUAUAUAUAUUAAUAUAUAUAUUUUUUUACUGUUUGGUAUCUUUGUGUGUGAAUAUUUGUAUAUAUGUAUAUAUAUUUAUAUAUGUUGAUUUAGUCUAGUUAUUUUUUUAUUUCAUCUUACUUUGGUUCAAGUAGAGAGUUUUUAGCCCAUGUUAAANNNNNNNNNNNNNNNNNNNNNNNNNNNNNNNNNNNNNNNNNNNNNNNNNNNNNNNNNNNNNNNNNNNNNNNNNNNNNNNNNNNNNNNNNNNNNNNNNNNNNNNNNNNNNNNNNNNNNNNNNNNNNNNNNNNNNNNNNNNNNNNNNNNNNNNNNNNNNNNNNNNNNNNNNNNNNNNNNNNNNNNNNNNNNNNNNNNNNNNNNNNNNNNNNNNNNNNNNNNNNNNNNNNNNNNNNNNNNNNNNNNNNNNNNNNNNNNNNNNNNNNNNNNNNNNNNNNNNNNNNNNNNNNNNNNNNNNNNNNNNNNNNNNNNNNNNNNNNNNNNNNNNNNNNNNNNNNNNNNNNNNNNNNNNNNNNNNNNNNNNNNNNNNNNNNNNNNNNNNNNNNNNNNNNNNNNNNNNNNNNNNNNNNNNNNNNNNNNNNNNNNNNNNNNNNNNNNNNNNNNNNNNNNNNNNNNNNNNNNNNNNNNNNNNNNNNNNNNNNNNNNNNNNNNNNNNNNNNNNNNNNNNNNNNNNNNNNNNNNNNNNNNNNNNNNNNNNNNNNNNNNNNNNNNNNNNNNNNNNNNNNNNNNNNNNNNNNNNNNNNNNNNNNNNNNNNNNNNNNNNNNNNNNNNNNNNNNNNNNNNNNNNNNNNNNNNNNNNNNNNNNNNNNNNNNNNNNNNNNNNNNNNNNNNNNNNNNNNNNNNNNNNNNNNNNNNNNNNNNNNNNNNNNNNNNNNNNNNNNNNNNNNNNNNNNNNNNNNNNNNNNNNNNNNNNNNNNNNNNNNNNNNNNNNNNNNNNNNNNNNNNNNNNNNNNNNNNNNNNNNNNNNNNNNNNNNNNNNNNNNNNNNNNNNNNNNNNNNNNNNNNNNNNNNNNNNNNNNNNNNNNNNNNNNNNNNNNNNNNNNNNNNNNNNNNNNNNNNNNNNNNNNNNNNNNNNNNNNNNNNNNNNNNNNNNNNNNNNNNNNNNNNNNNNNNNNNNNNNNNNNNNNNNNNNNNNNNNNNNNNNNNNNNNNNNNNNNNNNNNNNNNNNNNNNNNNNNNNNNNNNNNNNNNNNNNNNNNNNNNNNNNNNNNNNNNNNNNNNNNNNNNNNNNNNNNNNNNNNNNNNNNNNNNNNNNNNNNNNNNNNNNNNNNNNNNNNNNNNNNNNNNNNNNNNNNNNNNNNNNNNNNNNNNNNNNNNNNNNNNNNNNNNNNNNNNNNNNNNNNNNNNNNNNNNNNNNNNNNNNNNNNNNNNNNNNNNNNNNNNNNNNNNNNNNNNNNNNNNNNNNNNNNNNNNNNNNNNNNNNNNNNNNNNNNNNNNNNNNNNNNNNNNNNNNNNNNNNNNNNNNNNNNNNNNNNNNNNNNNNNNNNNNNNNNNNNNNNNNNNNNNNNNNNNNNNNNNNNNNNNNNNNNNNNNNNNNNNNNNNNNNNNNNNNNNNNNNNNNNNNNNNNNNNNNNNNNNNNNNNNNNNNNNNNNNNNNNNNNNNNNNNNNNNNNNNNNNNNNNNNNNNNNNNNNNNNNNNNNNNNNNNNNNNNNNNNNNNNNNNNNNNNNNNNNNNNNNNNNNNNNNNNNNNNNNNNNNNNNNNNNNNNNNNNNNNNNNNNNNNNNNNNNNNNNNNNNNNNNNNNNNNNNNNNNNNNNNNNNNNNNNNNNNNNNNNNNNNNNNNNNNNNNNNNNNNNNNNNNNNNNNNNNNNNNNNNNNNNNNNNNNNNNNNNNNNNNNNNNNNNNNNNNNNNNNNNNNNNNNNNNNNNNNNNNNNNNNNNNNNNNNNNNNNNNNNNNNNNNNNNNNNNNNNNNNNNNNNNNNNNNNNNNNNNNNNNNNNNNNNNNNNNNNNNNNNNNNNNNNNNNNNNNNNNNNNNNNNNNNCCCAGAUCGACAGCAGGCUUAGGCCUAAUUUGUGAGUGGACUUUUAUUUGAAAUAAUAUGCAUGCUAUGGUUCAUGAUUGAACAUUUCCUUUUGUUGGAGUUUUGCCGUCAAUUAAUUUUGACGCUUUUAUUUCUCUGAGAGAGAGUUACCGAAAAUGGGAUUUUCGGUGAAUAUAAAUAUGUAUAUAUGAGAGAGUAUGUAUAGAAAAUGCUAGCUAGCCAUAUGUGUCUGUCCACCUUAAUGGCGUAGCAUAUAGCCGUAUUAUGGUGUGACGUGAGCGUUGGACGCGAGCGUAGUAGCCCUAUUUGAGUGUUUAAUUCAUAUAGGGGGUAUGGACACAUAUUUAUACACCCGUCUGUCCACCUUGAUGGCGUAGUGUAGCACCGCAUUAAGGCGUGACGUGAGCGUUGGACGCGAGCGUAGUAGCCCUAUAUAGACCCAUAAAUUUAUAUAGGGAGUAUGGACGAGUGUAAAUACAUACAUAUAUUAUAGAGUCUGAGAGGCUCGAUAUUUUAUGGGAUAAAAGUUUUAUCGUUUGCGGCAUGCAUUCGAUUUUUCUUUAGAAAUUAAUUUGGGGAAACAUAAAUAUUUUAUUUAUUAUUUAUUUUUGUCCACUCACUCUAAACGUUAUUAAAAUGUUUCCCCUGGGCCCUUCGUUUUAAAUUGCCCAGUCUGCAGAGUUCGGGUUGGAUCUAGUAAGAGACGAGGCAUAGUCACCCGCUUUUCUGCCAGUUUUCGCCAGUAGGUUACCUGUUCAACCUACUCGUGUUUUCUUGCUUCCGCUUGUGUUUAGUAGCUCUGAAUACUUUAGAAUUUUUGUAUAUUAUGUGAUGUUCAGAAGUGUUAAAUUAAGAGUGUAUUAUGAAAUUUUCGAGUUAGGGUUGUCCAUCUGCAAGGGAGAUUUUCUUAAUCUUUUCAGUAAAUUUUCUUUAGAGGUGGUCCCCGCACGACUUACUCUGGGUUUCAGGGUGAAAUUCGGGGUGGGUCGUGUCACUUUCUAAUCUAUAACAGUAGCUUUUUUAAAGUACAGAAGUAGCUUUAUACAUAAUUAUAUCAUUGUAAAAAGUUACAUAAUUUUAGUAUUUUUUUAAUAUCUGUACUAGUAUCUUUUCAACAUGAUAAUAAUAUUUUGUAUAUACAAUCAAAGCGUUUUCAACUUCUAUGCUAGUAUUUUUCUCAAUCUCAUAUGAGUAGAUUUUGUUACUGGUGGUAGUAGUUUUUGUUGAUGGCGAUAGUAUCUUUUAUUGGUUGUGGUAGUAUCUUUUGUUGGUGGCAGUAGUAUCUUUGGCUGCUGGUGGUGGUAUUUUUUUGUUGCUGACAAUAGUAUUUUUUGUUGGUGAGAAUAGUAUUUUUUGUUGUCAGUGGUAGUAGUUUUCUUUGCCAUGGGUAGUAGCUUUUGUUGCUAUCGGUAGUAGCUUUCUUUGCUGAUGGCAGUAGUUUUUUUUGCUAUCGGUAGUAUAUUUUGUUGUCAGUGGUAGCAGCUUUCUUUACUGGUGGUAGUAGCUUUUGUUGCUAUCGGUAGUACCUUUCUUUGCUUGUGGCGGUAGUUCUUUUUGCUAUCGGUAGUAUCUUUUGUUGUCAGUGAUAGUAGCUUUCUUUGUUGAUAGUAGUAUCUUUUGUUGUUAGUGGUAGUAAGUUUUGUGGUCGCUAGAAUCCUCACAGAUGGUCGGCUGGAAAGUUUAUCGGAGGUUGGCCGGAAAGUUCGUCGGAGGUCGGCCGGAGACCUCGCCGGAGGUCAAUCGGAGACUAUUUGUGGUUGUUGACUUUUUACAUUAGUGACAUUUUUAUAAAUAUAAGAGAGAAAUUCUAAUUUUUUGGUUGGAUGGCAGUCUGUAAUUUUGUUGAACUUUAAUACCUAAUAUAAGACUGUAUUUAGGCUUGGGUGGACUUAUGUGGGUAAAAAUGUUUGGGUGGACCUACAUGGGAGAAAAUGCCUCCAAGUGGACUUUUAUGUAAUUGGCCAUUCCUUCAAAUAUGAAUUGAUGAACGUGUAUGACAUGGCCACAAUAAUUAAGAAAAUUAAAAUUUAGAAAUUUUUGAAUUUUAUGCUAAAUGGAAGAUUGAUGAAGUAAUUACUAGUGCAAAAUGGAUGAGAAAUUAAAAUUCAAAGGUUUAGAAUUUCAUAUCGGCAAAAGCUGCAAAACACCGGUCAUUCAAGUAAGCCAACAUGUCCGUUUAAACAAAGGGGCAACAAUGUAACUUUCUUUGACUUGGUAAAAUCAGUUUUCACCAAGCCCACUGAAGGAUAAAAAUGUAACAAUUGGUUUAUCUUUUACACCACACUUUAACAUGGGUUAAAUAAGGAAUCCCAAAGCAAUUUCUACGAGCCUCAGUAGUCUGAUUAUUUAACAUUCUUCUUCAUUCCGACAGUACAAUCACCACUAACAACCAACUGUUUCCAUAACAAUUUAAUCUGCUUCUAGUCUCUUUUUCUGUUUUCAGGUCUGAUCAUAAGGCUAACGCUCAUACACGUUUUGGUGGCCGGUACGUAUUGCACCCUCAUACACGUUUUGGGCCUAAACCAUUCUGUUGCAUUUGCUUGUCCUCUUCCUUUUGGGCCUGAAAUGACUAAUAGCCCAAGGGCAUGCAAUAAAAUCUAGUCUAUUCUUCUCCUGACACUAAACUCGGCAAGGGACAGACACGUAUACCUACCAGACGGUAGUAGAAGAUGAUAGAAUCCAUUAGAACAAUCUCGCACAUCGGCUUCAUCUUCUCUGAAGAAAUAAUGAAACCGCCUGAACCUUCUUUAGGAUUCUAUAUAUACCUCACUCCCUAGCUCCAGCCUUAUCAAACAAGAAUCAACCAAAGCAACCAAAUCAUCCGAUACUAUAGCCUACACCACCAAGUCAAAAGUUCAAAAAACCUUCAUCGAUCAACAGCAAUGGCUCUAAGUCUCUUUGGCAAUGGCCGACGCAGCAACGUCUUCGACCCAUUUUCCCUCGACAUCUGGGACCCCUUCCAGGGAUUUGGCCCUCUCAUGAACUCCUCCUCCACCGCCGGCGAAACCUCCGCCUUCGCGCAGACCCGAAUCGACUGGAAGGAGACUCCGGAGGCUCAUGUCUUCAAGGCGGACCUGCCCGGACUGAAGAAGGAAGAAGUGAAGGUUGAGCUGGAGGAAGGGAAUGUCCUUCAGAUCAGCGGAGAGAGGAGCAAGGAGCAGGAGGAGAAGAACGACAAGUGGCACAGGGUGGAGAGGAGCAGCGGCAAGUUCAUGAGGAGGUUCAGGCUGCCGGACAAUGCAAAGGUGGAUCAGGUUAAGGCUGCUAUGGAGAAUGGGGUGCUUACUGUGACUGUGCCCAAAGCACCGGAGCCGAAGCCCCAGGUUAAGAGCAUCGACAUCUCUGGAGCCUAAAUUUUCAAGAUCUUCAGGCCAUCACAUCUUGCUACUUUUCAUCAUUGUGUUUUUAGUCGUGUCUAGAUGGAGGUAAAUUUAUAAUUUUUUCUGAUGAUGUUUUGCAAAUUUGGGACAUAAUCUACGAUGUGCUAGUUGGUGUUCUGCUUUUUCUGUUUCUUAAUUCUGUAUCUCAUGUGGUGGUUUUGAUUUGACCUAGUAUGAGUGUUUUCGAGGUUCUUCGUUUAAUUUUAUUUCUCAUCGUCGAAAGAAUUGUUUGCUAUAUCUGCUAGGUACAUAUAAGCUGUUAACUUGUAAACCCUUGGGCCUAGCAAAGGAUACCUCUCGUUACAUGCGGUAACGUUAUUAUGUAUGAACUUGAAUAAAUUAUGAAGAGCUUGAAUAAAUUUAGGUUGUUGUCAGGUAACUUGUUAUACCUCACUUUAUAAUAUAAUAACGUUAAGAUAUUGUGAGGUAAACAAUCAAGUUCUAGGAGGGCAUCCGAGCCGGAUUACUAAAAAAUAGUUCGUUAUGUGUUUAACGCAUGGCUCCGUUAUUUUCAUACAACUAGUAAGUUUAAUACAAACAAAUAAUAUUUUUUCUUUAAAAAAAAUGACCGGUAUUAGAGCAGAAUAGUUAACGGAGUUAGAAGUUGACUCGAACUCUGUUUCCAUAUCUUGUUUCCUUUCAAAUUUGGGAUGUUACACAUAGCAAAGCCCUGAAAUCCUACUUCAAAGAGAAAAAGAGAAAAACCGUCAACAUAUAUAUAACGUUACAACUCAAAACUAUUGAUGAGAUUUCCAUACAAAAAAGUAGAAGGCAACACAAAAUCGAUCGAUGAUAUACCCUACAAACCAAAGCUGGAACGACCUUCCUAUUGGAUCACGGCUCAACACUGAAACAGACGUCUCGCACUUCCGUGUAGUUUGCAAGGCAUGGCGGUCCUCUAUUCCUCCCCGACCAGUCCUUUCCUUAAUCAUUAUUCGAAAGAUUCAACCUUACUACAAGACCUUCUUCCUGCGCGAGACUAUAGUCUAUCGUUUGGCACCACCAACUCAUCACCACGACGAUUGGGGCAGCUGGGUGAUUAAGCUCGAAAAGGACAUAGACAUGGUACUCAUAUGAUAGUUCAUCCAUUCUCUGAAACUCCGUUCGAGAUAGACCGGAUUCCCAAGGCUUUGGGGUUCCAACAAAAAUUAAACUUAUUGGAGUUUCAAGUAUUUGAACUAGGCAAUUAAAUUUAGUUUACCUCUUUCAGGUUUAAGGUGACAUCUAGUCUGAAAUUUUUAAUUUCAUCUGAAUACCCUAAAAGCUUUUCAAUGUUUAGGGUGACAUCAUAUUAGUUCGAAAUUUUUAAUUUCAUCUGAAUACCUUAAAAGCUCUUCAAUUUUAAUCAACUAUUAGUCUCACUUUUUAACCGUUAACUAUGAUAUUAGGGCUCACUUUUUAGGGUAAAAUUGUCAUCUCAAAGACACAGCGAUGUGCAUCACCACAAAAAAGAUUACUUCAUCUGCUUCUCCUCCUCUCGUCCAAUAAUGGUGUCCUCUUCAAUUUUCCAAUUCCCCUCGUUGUGUCAGGGGCGAAACCAACUUAGUCUUGACUAGACUGGAGCCCUAGUGAGAAUUUGAAGUCUAAGAAAAAAACCACAUCACAUCUUAAAAAAGCGAUACGAAACCACUAUUUUCUUAUGGGUGCUGCCUAGCAUGGAAGAGACGACAAUGAGGGGCGAGAACUCUUUGUGAAAAAAGAAAAGAUCGUAAUGAGAUCAUGAGAGAUAAGUGCGGUGUUUUUGACCCGCUACUUUUUUUUUAGAAAUAGAUAUAGAGGGGAGACUUAUCUAUUUGGGAAAUACUCAUCUGCAUCACUUCCCUUUUAUUAAAACAAGGGCUGUGGUAAAUUUUUUAAUAUAUACAUGUGUCUUCUUAAUAACCACCGAUAGGUAGUGACAAACAAAAACAAUCGAUCUUUUACAAUAAUAACUUACUGUUGUAGAUCAUUAAUCAGUCUUGAUACAGAGAAUUGUAGUAGAGAAACAAUGAAAAGAAUUUGUUGACAUUAAGGUGGUGAUUAAUAAUUUUGAAGAUUUGGUGCUCAUAAAGCAAGUAUUAGUUAGUUUAUAUUUAUGUGUUUCUUGUAUUAUGUUUCAUGUUGUAUUUCAGUUUAUACAAACACGUUUUAGAGUAAGGCUUGUUAUGUCUUUAUGUAUGUUUUUUUUUUAAUUAACCAAAAUUUUUUCACACCAUCGAGUUUUAUCAAAUUUUUUUUCAUAUGUUACAAUUAACCCGGGUGACAUUUUUAUCCUGGCUCCGCCACUGAUUGUGUCCCAAAGCCCAUAUACACUCAACUUCCACCAAACCCCAUUUCACCACCAUCAAAUGCGAUCAACUUAAGAAACAAAAAACCAAAGUGAUCAACUCAAGAAUUACAUCUACGGGGGCUAAAUUGAAACAAUCACUAAAUUUAUAGGCAUAUGAAUCUCUAAUUUCAGAAAUAGAGAGCGAGAUAUCGGAGGGAGAGUUGGUCAGGGAGGAGCAGGUGGAGGAGGAUAGAGAGGUUCUUUUUGAGGAUAGGAGGAGACGACGAUCUCGACAACGUUGCUUUCCAAGAGGAGGUGGGUGACUGGAAGUGGGUCCUAAUCAUGGUUGACUGGUUGAGGAGGUGGUGGAAGAGGUCGUCCUCUGUUAUUCUGGAUUCAUUCGAAGGUGGCUCUUUUAGUUUUGGGUUUAUGGGAUUGAGGUAGGGGAACAAGGUUUCGGGGAUUAAGACUUCAUAGUGGUAUCUUUUAGUGAGGGAGUUUUCAAAGCAGGUGAAAUGGAAAUCAAGUUCAGAUUUCAGCCAUUUGAGAGAGAGAGAGGACGUCAAAGUGGACUAGGGAAGAAGAAGACGAGUAUUUUUUUAAGGGAAAAUGUCAAUUUAGUACUGAUUUAAAUCUCUCAUUUUUUAUUUCAAUGAUAAUAUUUUUCAUGAGUCUAUUUUAAUAUAAGGUAAUAUUUUUUAUGUCUAAAUGCACAAAUCUUUACGAAAGUCUUAACAAACUAUAUUAUUUUAAGAUUAUUUUACCUCAUCUCUUAAACAUGCAUAUAGAUAGAAAGUGGAAAAGAGAGAAUAUUUGGUCAGAACCUCACCGGACUUCGGUCAUCGGCCGUCGGACUCUGGUCACCGGUCGCAGGACUUCAGUUGCCGGAUUUCUCCGGUCAUCGAUAAGUCGGUUACUGACUCCCAGUAACUCAAAUUUUCUCCGGUCGCUGGAUUCCGGUCACCGGUAACUCAGUUAUUGACCCCAAAUAAUUUGUUACUGUCCCCCAAUAAUCAGUUACUGACCUUCAGUAACUCAAAAUUUCUCCGGUCGUCAGAUUACGAUCAUCGGUAACUUGGUUACUAACCUCUAAUAAUCAGUUACUGACCCUCAAUAAUCAACUUAUGUUAGCUUAAUGUAAUAGAAAAGAAGAAAUAUCAGCUAAUAAUCGAGUUACUGACCCCAAUAAUCGGGUUAUUGACCCCAAUUUAGUUACUGAUCUCCAAUAAUCAGUUAUUAACCCUCAAUAACACUUAGUAAACAAGUUAUUGAUCUUAAGUUUUUUCUGUCUUGAAUUGACAAUUUUAUCCUCAAAAGUGGGUUACAGUAUCAUAGUUAACAAUCAAAUUAGGCGGAAUCUGUAAAAUCUGGAUCUUGAGUGUCUCACACUCACGAAUUCUUUUCUUUCAGAUCUGAAUUGAUGAACAUGUAUGACAUGCCUAUAAUAAUUAAGAAAAUUAAAAUUUAGAAAUUUUUGAAUUUUAUGCUAAAUGGAAGAUUGAUGAAGUAACCAGUGCAAAACGGAUGAGAAAUUAAAAUUCAAGGGUUUAGAAUUUCAUAUCAUGGAAAGUUGAAGACGAAGAGAAACGGAGUUGACGACCGACAGCUCUCAUUUACGAUGUUGUGCGCGUGUCAGUGUCUCAUUGGUUGAGAACACCACGUCAGCAAUGUUGGGUAAAAUCUAGUCUAUUCCUCUAUUCUUUUCUCCCGACACUAAACUCGGCACGGGACAGACACGUGUUCGUACCAGACAGUAGUAGAAGAUGAUAGAAUCCAUUAGAACAAUCUCGCACAUCUUCAUCUUCUCUGAACAAUCAUGAAACCGCCUGAACCUUCUUUCUCAUUCUAUAUAUACCUCACUCCCAUGGCUCCAACCUCAUCAAACAAGAAUCAACCAAAGCAACCAAGUCAUCCGAUACUAGCCUACACCAACAAAUCAAGAGUUCAAAAAACCUUCAUCGAUCAACAGCAAUGGCUCUAAGUCUCUUUGGCAAUGGUGGCCGACGCAGCAACGUCUUCGACCCAUUUUCCCUCGACAUCUGGGACCCUUUCCAGGGCUUUGGCCCUCUCAUGAACUCCUCCUCCACUGCCGGCGAAACCUCCACCUUCGCGCAGACCCGAAUCGACUGGAAGGAGACUCCGGAGGCUCAUGUCUUCAAGGCAGACCUGCCCGGACUGAAGAAGGAAGAAGUGAAGGUUGAGCUGGAGGAAGGGAAUGUCCUUCAGAUCAGCGGAGAGAGGAGCAAGGAGCAGGAGGAGAAGAACGACAAGUGGCACAGGGUGGAGAGGAGCAGCGGCAAGUUCAUGAGGAGGUUCAGGCUGCCGGACAAUGCAAAGGUGGAUCAGGUUAAGGCUGCUAUGGAGAAUGGGGUGCUUACUGUGACUGUGCCCAAAGCACCGGAGC
rnacentral:lncRNA from 1 species